GAAAAAGGCCUUAGCAGACUCAAAUUAUGCUUUCACCUACUUACACGUGUUUAGCACUGUUUUUGUUUGAGAUCAUAACAUUACUGUCCCUUCUUAUUAAAUUAUCACAUCAGAUUUUAUGUCUACAUCACAGGCUUGGCUCACGUACACGAUGGAACAUUGAAAAGGGCAUCGUCCUUCACCUUGGUUUCAUUGCAGCUGCUGCCCGUCACCUACUUGCGUGUGCUGGAGAUCGUAGUAAUUGCCGCGCACCGCUGCCCGUCGAGAGGGGCGGACUUACCAAAGAAAAGAAAAUUGUGUCGGGAGAUAUCCAAAGAACUGCAAGGUUUUUUAUGUAAAUACGUAUACGCAUAGCUUAUGAUAUCAUUAAAGCGGACCGUAAACCUUCCGCAAUCAUUCGGAUCGUACUGUCCGGACCGCGAAAGCCAUACAACACCGAUCUGUAUCAGUCCGCGAAGCGGUCCGGAUGCGAUUUCCCCCACGAAUCAGAGACAAAAGUGGGGGAGGUUGCGGGAGUCCGGACCGCUCCCAAGCCCGCUUCUUAUCGCCCUGACCCGUCAAAAACCCGUCACCCGCACCUCCCACGCUUUUCUUCCGAUGCACACGCCGCUUACCGUGCCAUAUUCAUGUCGGCCCAGAGCAUGCGGACGCCGGCAUUGAUGACGCGAUGUGACCGAAGGAGGAAGGGCGGCGCUGACCGGCGCGACCUCUUGGCAGUCGCCACUUCAAUGCGGAUGCUGGUUCCCCAGGAACCAACUCGGGCUGUUGCGCCACAUUGAAGCGGUUGACCGGCCUUUCGCAUGGCCUGGCUGUUGCGCCACAUUUAAUCCUCCUCUUCCUCCCUCCUCCUUGCCGCACCCCCUCCACGUCCUCCGGUGAUGGGCAAGUCCUGGUCGUCGGCACUGGCAUGCGGUUCUGGGGCGGGAUCUGGCAGCUCGUGGAGACGCCACCCUCGUCGGCUGGCAGCGACUAGGCACGGGCGGAGAUCAUCAUCUCCUCCGGCGACGAGGGGGACAAGCAGCCGCCCCAGUCCACGCCAGCGGUGCCAGGCUAGGUCUACGGCGGCACCGACACGGAGUUCGAGGAGCAGAUGAAGCUGAUGCUCCGUCACUCCAUCGUCCACACCAACGUCCCAGUUCCGCCACCGGGAGCGUCCUUCCCGUGAAGCUGGAGCUGGCAUUCCCUCCACGCUCUCGGCCGCCGCGUAGCAGCGGCGUCCAAAUCGGACGCCCGUCAAGGAAGAGCAGCUCCCCUCGCCGCCCAUGCGCCAUGAAGGAUGAGCAGCUCUCGCCACUGCCCCGGCGAGCCGUGAAGGUGGAGCGUUGCUCGUCACCGCCUCGCCGUGUCGUCAAGGAUGAGCGCCGCUCGCCCCCCUGCCCAAGGCGCGCGGGCACAUUCUGCACUACUUCCGCGGUGGCUCCUCCUCCUCGUCGUCGUCCCGGAACGCCUUGAUGGUGCAGGAGUACGCCGACCGAGAGCAGCGCCGGCGGGAAAGGCGCAACACCCCGCGCCGAUCCCAGUUCACGGACUCCGACGUCCCGCCGCCACACAUCGCGACGGACCCAGACCUAGAGUAUGCCUAGGCCCUGAACCGCCUCGUGACGACGUCAGAUAUGGCGAAGAGCCGUCUCCGGCACAGGGAGAUGACAGGUACGGUAAGGAAUGGUCCCUCGCCAAGAACGCCGCCACCGCCGAAGACGACGCCUCCAAUGACCGCCACCCUCUCCCCCAGCCCAUGUCCUCCGUAGCCGCGGCCGCAUUGCGCAUGGCGCAGGAGGAGGAUGAGAGGAUCAUCCGCGAGCGUCAAGCAGCCGCCAGAAAGCCUUGUCGCGGCACCACCACCUUCCACCGCCCCAAGCCCAACGAAGAUGACUCCGACUCCGACGAAGGGUCGGGCGACAAUGACGGAGGAGGAGGAGCUGGCCAGCCCGACAUUGGCUACGAGGUCACCAUGAAGUAUAGGAUAGUUUAGGGUUUUAGUUUUAGGUUUUAGUUCACCGGACGAAAUAUCGUCCUGCUUUAUGUACAAAUUAUCCUACUUUCAAUGAAAUCGGCCAUGUUUAUAUAAAAAUUCAUCAUGUUUGCACGAAUUUCGUUCGGUUUGUUUGAGUUGUUUUGAAAAUGUAUGCGGCUAACGUUAGAUGUCGACCUUCCGCAUCUGUGUCCGCGGACUGGCCCCCCUGUCCGCGGACGGAUGCGGGAAUUUUUCUGCGGGUUGCCGUUGAAGAUGCCCUUACAUACAGUCUUAUAAAUUUGAGCGGGGUGCAUCUACCUUUGGUCGGGCACCACUGCAGGGAAUACGUGCUUCCUUUUCCAACUGCUAGCUUAUUGGACAACUCCAACGUGCCAACCCAAAUGGUUCGUACUUGUUCGUUUGAACUAACGAAAACACCGGCCCAACACGCCGACGUAAAUCCAAAAUCCGUCUGCUUGUUGUUCGUUUGGAGGGCUCAUAUUUGUGUUGGAUUUGCAUCCACAUAGAUACAAGAUGGACGCGUCGGCGGCCGCUCGGUGUGCACGUGUCGGCCACCCAACUACCCCACGUGGUCGUAGUUAAUGUGUCCACCUACCUUGGGCUCGCAUGGCAGCGUAUGGAAGCCUCUGGAGUUGACGUAUUUCUNNNNNNNNNNNNNNNNNNNNNNNNNNNNNNNNNNNNNNNNNNNNNNNNNNNNNNNNNNNNNNNNNNNNNNNNNNNNNNNNNNNNNNNNNNNNNNNNNNNNNNNNNNNNNNNNNNNNNNNNNNNNNNNNNNNNNNNNNNNNNNNNNNNNNNNNNNNNNNNNNNNNNNNNNNNNNNNNNNNNNNNNNNNNNNNNNNNNNNNNNNNNNNNNNNNNNNNUCACCCUCACUUCCCCGCCGGUGAUAGGAAACUCUAUUUAGCUCGCCCGUCCGCCAUGGGAUUCUUCAACAGCAAGGGCAAGGGCAGGUGCAAGUUCGAUGCUGGAGCUGGCUCAUCCCACAUGUUGUCGUCGUCGGACGCCUUCACCUUGGUGCCGCGGGCGGGGAGGGCUCGCCGCCCUUGGGACCGGCUCUACAUCCUAGUGCACUGCGUGCAAUACGACUAGCAGUACCGCAUGCCGCUCCCAUGGCCCGACGGCUAGCAACUCGACACGCACCACAUCCCGGUGUCGAAGGUGAUGCGGUCGCUACGUGCGCACGUCGAGGAGGUGCGCAAGAGUUGUGCCGUCCUGACGCUGGAGCAGCGCUGCGACCCAACGUACGUGCCAGACUUCCCCAACUUGGAAGAAUGGUUCACCAUCGAGCACAAAUUGUGAGGUCGUGGCGUCGUCCAGGUUGACUCUGGCUAUGCACUGCCGCCUCUGGCGGUUGCGCAGGAGGACGAGGAGGCGGACGUGGCAUACCAUGCCGCAAUCAAGGAGGCUCUCCAGCGUGCCCUUGAGGAGCCCCAUCGCGAGGAGAACGCGCGCUGGCUGGGCAUGGAAGAGGCGUUGUAGCUGUCGACAGUGGGGGACUAUGUCUAGCCUCCGCCAUAGCCGCCGCUGCCUGAACCUGCGUCGGCCACGCCCAAGGCAGAGCACAUGGAGGUGGUACUGCAACCACCCACCGUUGAGGAAAGGUAUGCAUGGACUGGCGUCCUCCCCAAGUAGGUGAGCACAUCGACCAUCGCACUACGCGCGACGCCAGAGCAGGAGGCGCGUACCUCAAGCACUAGAGGCAGCGCACGCUGGCGGAGGAGCAGGCCGACUGGGAGCGCCAAAUGCAGGACGAGUGUGAGGAGGAGGAGGAGGAGCGUCGUGCCCGCUGGGCAUGGAAGGAAGAGGAGGGUACCGAGAGCAGGAGGUGGAGGAGCAUGCGCCGGGCAACAGAGCCGCCAGUGCAGCAGACAGCGGAGGAGGCGGCACGGGCGGCGUGGCAGCAGGCCUUCCCGUGGGCUACGCUACCGUCAGACUUCGUUGAGCUCACCGGCUCUAAGGACGAUGGAGAUGCCUAGGGCAGCGUGCAGGAUGGUUGGGAGACACGUGUUUUCUUUUUAGUUUUUAAAUUUAUGUUUAAGUGGACUUUGGCCGACGUUGACCGACCAUUUUAAUGUUAAAUUAUGUUUAAUUUGUGCGCAUGUUUUAAACUUUUAUUAAGUCCACGCAGAAAUGCGUUGGCCACCAUUGGGUUAACCGGCCAACCCAAACGAAAAAGCGGACACAUUCGUCCGCUUGACCAACCCAAACAAAAAAAGGUCAAAAUCUACAUCCGUUUGUGUCGGCGUGUUGGAGUUUAUCCUAAAAUCGCCUAUGUUGCUAAUUAGUACUCUCACAUUAUUUUUUCUAGAAGUUGUGAGUCUUUUGAGAACAUCGCCCAUCGACGCAAUACUACUGCACUAUUUCACAAGAUUCCAGAUCCAAAUUUGGUCGUACUUUGACAAAUGAAAAGAAGAAAUUCAAUGCUGAAUUGUAGAGCUCUUGAUUUUUGUCGUUUUUGUUCUUUGAACUAUUUCUUGAAUUAAGAUUUGAAAUUUCAAGACACGAUAAGCGCAUGUUGUCUCAAUGUCAUAAGAACAACAAUUCAUUACAGGGUUCUAGCCUUACUAACAAGCCGUGUACCCAGCUGCAACGCCCUGUCGACAGUAGGCAAGUGCCAAUGGAUCUGUUUUAUUGUGCGGUGCGCCACCCCACUCGCUCUGCGACGCUCCAUCAGUCUCGCUAUGCGGUGCAUACGCGCCUAUCUUGCACUGCGGCGCACCACCGAUCAUGUUGUGUAGCGAGCUGCAGCCUCUCGGCACUGACGCACAUAUCUUGAUCGGCGUUGUCGCGCCCUACGCCAAGGAUAUGCUCAACCCUGGCGAUGAGGCGCAGCACGACGUCAUCCAUCGCGUUGUCGGGGACGCCCUCGGCCUCAACGGGCCGUGGCACCUGCACCGGCCAGCUCAUUUUCCCCGUCGAGGAAUUGAUGGCAGAGCGCUUCGGUGGGUUGGCAUGCUUGUAAAGGUAGAGAGGCUAUAGGUUGCGCUUGUGCCUCCGUGUGCCGCGCGCUGCCUAGACUUAUGCGCAAUCGCUGUUGACGGGAAUCCGAUAGAGAAGUGGCAGGAAACGGUGGCGUGUUCACAAAAUGCCAUUAAUCGAUGGAAAACUUAGUAAAGAAGGAAGCACGAGCUAGCACGACGUGUGUGCCCAACUGAGCAAAUCACAUCGCACACGAACUAAACUAUGGAAUCCAUCGGUGAUGAUUUUAUCAAUCGCUGACAAUUGCAUACCAGCAAUCAUUUGCCCACAACACACACACACACACACACGGCUUAUUAGCAGGAAUUGUCUGUGUUAUUAUCGGUCUUUCCACACAAUUCUGAUUAUUGACUUGUUUAUCGCGUAUCACACAUAUCUUGUUAACCUAAAUUGUUUGUGUUUACUUUGGCUCAUUGCAAACAGUUCAUCCGAGUGAACUGUUUGCCGUCUAUCGCACACACCUUGAUCUGGCUGGCCAUUUUUGUUGUUUUGGCUCAUCGCAAACAGUUAAUCCGAUUAAAUUGUAUGCCGUCUAUCGCACAAACUUUGAUUUGGCUGACAAUUUCUGUUGUUUUGGCUAACCAUAAACAGUUCAUAUGGAUCAACUGUAUGUCUUGUAUCGCACACACGACUCUAAUCUGAAUCAUGCUUCACGCCUCCACCAUCGCACACAGUUCAUUUUAUUGGUGAUGGUUUUAUUACGAUACCGUUUACGAUUCAUGCAAAGCACACAGUUUGGUCGAAGGUCUCCAAUACAUGUGUCGCGUUAGCACCAUUCCGCAGUAGUGUUUUCCUGAUACGUCUUCAUCGUGCUAUAAUUUUUGGUUGUUUCAUGCCAAUAUUACACAAGUUUCACAUACUUUUGGCAACAUUUUAUAUGAUUUAUUGGACUAACCUAUUGAUCCAGUGCCUAGUGCCAGUUCCUGUUUUUUUGCAUGUUUUUUGUUUCGCAGAAUAUCCAUAUCAAACGAAUUCCAAAUGCAAUAAAAUUUUACGAAGAAUUGUUUUGGAACAUAUAUGAUUUUUGGGACUUGGAAUCAACGCAGACAGGGGCCCACAGCCCCCACAAGACACUAGGGUGCGCCCCAAGGGCCAGGCACAUGGUAGUGGGUUGUGCUCACCUCGUACGUCGGUUCGGGCUCUACGGGCGCAGGGAAGCUUAUAUCUAGAAAAAAUUAUGUCAAAAUCUCUGCGCAAUCAGAGUUACGGAUCUCCGGGAAUAUAAGAAACGGCUUUUGACCAGAAAACAGGAAUGCGAAACAUAAGAGAACAGGGGGUAGAUCCAAUCUCGGAGGGGCUCCCGCCCCUUCGCUGCAAUGGAGGCCAUGGACUAGAGGGGGAACUCUCCUCCCAUCUAGGGUGAGGCCAAAGAAGAAGAAGAAGGAGGGGAGCUCUCUCUCAAUCUCUCUCGGUGGCGCCGGAGUGCCGCUAGGGCAAGGAUCGUGAUGGCGAUCUACAUCAACAAUCUUGCUACUGCCAACACCAACUUUCUCCCCCUAAACACAGCGGUGUAACACCCCUUCUCCCCGCUGUAAUCUCUACUUAAACAAGAUGCUCAGCUCCACAUAUUAUUUCUCAAUGAUCUAUGGUUAUCCUAUGAUGUGUAGAUCCGUUUUGUCCUAUGGGUUAAUCAUGAUCUUGGUUGGUAUGAGUGUAUAUUUUAUUUCUGGUGCUGUCCUACGCUGACCUCCGUCUCGUGGAAACAUGAGGGGUCCCCGCUGUAGGGUGUUGCAAUACUUUCAUGUUUUGCUUAUUGUCGGUUGGUGGGGUGACAGUAGCCUGAACAUGGAUAAGUGGGUUAUGGCGUAUGGGAGUAAAGAGGACUUGAUACUUAAUGCUAUGGUUGGGUCUCAUGACCUUAAUGAUCUUUAGUAGUUUCGGAUGCUUGCUAGAGUUACAAUCAUAAGUGCAUAUGAUCCAAGUAGAGAAAAUAUGUUAGCUCAUGCCUCUCCCUCAUAUAAAAUUGCAUGAAUGAUUGCCAGUCUAGUUAUUGAUUGUCUAGGGACAAAUGACUUUCUUGUUGACAAAAGUUAUCAACUUUUAUUACCUUGUGAUGACCCACAAGUGUAGGGGAUCUAUCGUAGUCCUUUUGAUAAGUAAGAGUGUCGAACCCAACAAGGAGCAGAAGGAAAUGAUAAGCGGUUUUCAGUAAGGUUUUCUCUGCAAGCACUGAAAUUGAAGGUAACAGAUAGUUUUGUGAUAAGAUAAACUGUAACGAGUAAUAAGUAAAUAAAGUGCAGCAAGGUGGCCCAAUCCUUUUUGUAGCAAAGGACAAGCCUAGACAAUUUCUUAUAAUGAGAAAAGAGCUCCCGAGGACACAUGGGAAUUAUCGUCAAGCUAGUUUUCAUCACGUUCAUAUGAUUCGCGUUCGGUACUUUGAUAAUUUGAUAUGUGGGUGGACCGGUGCUUUGGUACUGCCCUUACUUGGACAAGCAUCCCACUUAUGAUUAACCCCUAUUGCAAGCAUCCGCAACUACAAAAGAAGUAUUAAGGUAAACCUAACCACAGCAUGAAACAUAUGGAUCCAAAUCAGCCCCUAACGAAGCAACGCAUAAACUAGGGUUUAAGCUUCUGUCACUCUAGCAACCCAUCAUCUACUUAUUACUUCCCAAUGCCUUCCUCUAGGCCCAACUAAUGGUGAAGUGUCAUGUAGUCGAUGUUCACAUAACACCACUAGAGGAAAGACAACAUACAUCUCAUCAAAAAUAUCAAACGAAUACCAAAUUCACAUGACUACUAACAGCAAGACUUCACCCAUGUCCUCAGGAACAAACGUAACUACUCACAAAGCAUAUUCAUGUUCAUAAUCAGAGGAGUAAUAAUAUGCAUUAAGGAUCUGAACAUAUGAUCUUCCACCAAGUAAACCAAUUAGCAUCAACUACAAGGAGUUUCAACCGGACACUGAGAAAGAUAGGGGCUUAUUGUGUUGCCUCCCAAUGUAUUCACCUUUAGGUGAUGUCAACAAUAGUAAUCCAUGCUAACUUACAUCCAAUUGGAUAUAUAUAUCAUGAUCUUUCAAACACGAGGAGCUUGCCAAAGGAUAAAAUAAAAAAGGGAAAGGUGAAGAUCACCUUGACUCAAGCAUAAAGUAAAAACAUAAAGUAAAAGAUAGGCCCUUCGCAGAGGGAAGCAGAGGUUGUCAUGUGCGUUUAGGAUUGGGUGCAUGAAAUCUUAAUGCAAAAGAACGUCACUUUAUAUUGCCACUUGUAUGUGGACCUUUAUUAUGCAGUCCGUUGCUUUUAUUGCUUCCACAACAAGAUCGUAUAAAGCUUAUUUUCUCUGCACUAAUAAGUCAUACAUAUUUAGAGGGCAAUUUUUAUUGCCUGCAACAUGAAAACUUACUUGAAGGAUCUUACUCAAUCCAUAGAUAGGUAUGGUGGACUCUCAUGGCAAAACUGGGUUUAAGGAUAUUUGGAAGAACAAGUAGUAUCUCUACUUGGUGCAAGGAAUUUGGCUAGCAUGAGGGGGAAAGGCAAGCUCAGCAUGUUUGGAAGGUCAAUGACAAUAUACUUUAACUGAGAUGUGAGAAAACAUAAACCAUUAUGUUGUCUUCCUUGUCCAACAUCAACUCUUUUAGCAUGUUAUACUUAAUGAGUGCUUCACAAUCAUAAAAGAUGUCCAAGAUAAUAUAUUUGUAUGUGAAACCUCUAUUUCCUUAUUACUUCCUAUUAAUUGCAACGAUGACCAAAACUACGUUUAUCAACUCUCAACAACUUUUAUGCCUCAUACUUUCUAUGUGUGAAGUCAUCACUAACCAUAAGAUCAAUAUGAACUCUUUUAUUCUCUACUUUCUCAAGAUCAUGGCAAGAUAGCAAAGCCCUUGACUCAACACUAAUCUUUAUUAUAGAUAGCUCACGGACUCGAUUACAUAAAGAGAUCACAAAGCAAAGCUCAAAACUACUUGAUACUAAAACUUCAAUCUACUAGAUCAAGAUACUACUAAAAGGAUCGAACUAAAUAAAACGGUAAAGAUAGGAGUGUGAUGGUGAUACGAUACCGGGGCACCUCCCCCAAGCUUGGCAGUUGCCAAGGGGAGUGCCCAUACCCAUGUAAUUAUGUCCUCGGAGGGGGUGAAGUAGGAGUUGUUGAUGAUGUAGGCUUUUCGUCCAUCUUCCAAGGCAUAGGCUCACCAUCAUAGAAGGAUGAUCGAGUCCUCGGGAUCCUUAAAUCUGCAGCCAAACUCAUCCUCUUGAAUCUAUAUUCAUACUCACAGUUCUGGUUUUGCAGGUCAUAGAUCUGGGCUUGGAGGUGCUCGAUUUUCUCUUGAAGCUUGAAGAUGGUCUCCCCAUUGACUUUGGCAUCUAGCUUGUGGUUGUUAGUGAACUCCGUGAUCAUCAUCUGGUUGGCAUUGAGUCCACGCUCCACCAUCCCUUGGCACUUGAAAACUUGCUACUCCACAGCUUCGAGCUUUGUCUCCAUGCUUCCGGUACGCCUUGGUCCCUCCAUAUCGCGGAUGUGCAGCACCCCCUCGCGCAUCUCAAUGGUUUGAGGGUGUUGCAGCACCUCCGCGAGAUAGGGGUUGAUAACCCUCUCAAAAACUUGUCCUUGGGAGUGCUUGGAGACGUCAUGAUGCUCUAGAUCUGAAACAGAAACAGCUCGAAACGAAAACAGAGGAUAUUUGCGUGAUACGGUGGUCAAAACCUUCGGGAAUUUAUAUAAUGAAUUUUUACCGACCAAAAUACGUAACGUGCAAGAAAACGGAGUCUGGGAGGCACACGAGGUGGCCACGAGACAGGGGGGCGCCCAGUAAGGGUGGGCGCGCCCUCCACCCUCGUGGAGGCCUCGUGUCCUUCCCGGACUACUUCUUUCUUCCUAAAAUUCUUAAAUAUUCCAAAACUGAUAAAAAUUGCCAUUAGAAUUGUUUUGGAGUUGGUUUACUUACCGUACCACAUACCUAUUCCUUUUCGGAGUCUGGAACAUUCUGGAAAGUGUCCCUUAUGUAUUCUUCCGGGGUUACGGUUUCAACAAUAUUAGUUUCAGCAUUGAUAGGAUUACAUGAGAUACAAUGUUUAAUUCUUUGACCGUUCACCACCCUCGGACUUGUGCCUUCGAAGUUGUUGAUUUUUAUGGCACCAGAACGAUAGACCUCCUCGAUAACAUAAGGACCUUCCCAUUUAGAGAGAAGUUUUCCUGCAAAAAGUCUUAAACGAGAGUUGAAUAAUAACACAUAAUCACCUGCGUUAAACUCACGCUUUUGUAUCCUUUUGUCAUGCCAGCGUUUGACUUUUUCUUUGAAUAGCUUGGCAUUCUCAUAGGCUUGGGUUCUCCAUUCAUCAAGUGAGCUAAUAUCAAACAACCUCUUCUCACCGGCAAGUUUGAAGUCAUAGUUGAGCUCUUUGAUAGCCCAAUAUGCUUUAUGUUCAAGUUCUAGAGGUAAAUGACAAGCUUUUCCAAAACCAUCUUAUAUGGAGACAUACCCGUAGGAUUUUUGUAUGCAAUUCUAUAGGCCCAUAAUGCAUCAUCAAGUUUUUUGGACCAAUUCUUUCUAGAUCUAUUGACAGUCUUUUGCAAAAUUAAUUUGAGCUCUCUAUUGCUCAACUCUACUUGACCACUAGACUGCGGAUGAUAAGGAGAUGCGAUUCUAUGAUUAACAUCAUACUUAGCAAGCAUCUUAGGGAAAGCACCAUGAAUAAAAUGUGAACCACCAUCAGUCAUAAGAUAUCUAGGGACUCCAAACCUCGAAAAAAUAACUUCUUUAAGCAUUUUAAUAGAAGUGUUAUGAUCAGCACUACUAGUUGGAAUAGCUUCUACCCACUUAGUAACGUAAUCAACAGCAACUAAAAUAUGUGUAUAACCAUUAGAGGCGGGAAAGGGUCCCAUAUAAUCAAAGCCCCAAACAUCAAACGAUUCAAUAACAAGAGAAUAAUUCAUAGGCAUUUCUUGAUGUCUACUAAUAUUACCAAUUCUUUGACAUUCAUCACAAGAUAAGAUAAACUUACGAGCAUCUUUGAAGAGAGUAGGCCAAUAAAAACCAGAUUGCAGUACCUUAUGUGCAGUUCUAUCUCCAGCGUGGUGUCCUCCAUAGGAUUCAGAGUGACACUUGCGUAGGAUCUGUUCCUGUUCAUGCUCAGGUACACAACGUCUAAUAACACCAUCUACUCCUUCUUUAUAAAGGUGUGGGUCAUCCCAGAAGUAAUGUCUUAAAUCAUAAAACAACUUUUUCUUUUGCUGGUAUGUGAAACUAGGUGGUAUAAAUUUAGCAACAAUGUAAUUAGCAUAAUUAGCAUACCAAGGAGCAAUACGAGAAGCAUUAACGAUCGCUAAUUGUUCAUCAGGAAAGUUAUCAUCAAUAGGCAGUGGGUCAUCAAGAACAUUCUCUAACCUAGACAAGUUGUCUGCAACGGGGUUCUCAGCUCCCUUUCUAUCAAUAAUAUGCAAAUCAAAUUCUUGGAGCAAGAGAACCCAUCUAAUGAGUCUAGGCUUAGCAUCUUUCUUUUUCAUAAGAUAUUUAAUAGCAGCAUGAUUAGUGUGAAUAGUAACUUUGGAAUCAACUAUAUAAGGUCUAAACUUAUCACAUGCAAACACGACUGCUAAGAACUCUUUUUCAGUAGUGGCAUAAUUUCUCUGGGCAGUAUCAAGAGUCUUACUAGCAUACUGAAUAACAUUCAAUUUCUUAUCAACUCUUUGCCCUAGAACAACACCUACAGCAUAAUCACUAGCAUCACACAUGAUUUCAAAGGGUAAAUUCCAAUCAGGUGGCUGAACAAUAGGUGCAGUGAUCAAAGCUUUCUUAAGUAUUUUAAAUGCUUCUACACAAUCAUCAUCAAAGACAAAAGGAAUAUCUUUUUGCAAUAAAUUAGUCAGAGGCCUAGAGAUUUUAGAAAAGUCCUUAAUGAACCUCCUAUAAAAACCGGCAUGACCAAGGAAACUUCUUAUACCUUUUAUGUCCUUGGGACAUGGCAUCUUUUCAAUAGCAUCAACUUUAGCUUUAUCAACUUCAAUACCUCUCUCGGAGAUCUUGUGCCCCAAGAGAAUGCCUUCAUUUACCAUAAAGUGGCACUUUUCCCAAUUCAAGACGAGACUAGUGUCUUCGCAUCUCUGCAAAACUCGAUCAAGGUUGCUCAAGCAAUCAUCAAAAGAGGAUCCAUAAACGGAGAAAUCAUCCAUGAAUACCUCACAAAUCUUUUCACAAAAGUCAGAGAAUAUAGCCAUCAUAUAUCUUUGAAAGGUAGCAGGUGCAUUACAUAAACCAAAAGGCAUACUUCUAUAAGUAAAGUUACCAAAAGGGCAAGUAAAAGUAGUUCUCGAUUGAUCCUUAGCUGACACAGGUAUUUGAGAGAAAGCAGAAUAACCAUCUAGGAAGCAGAAAUGUGUGUGUUUGGAUAGUCUUUCUAGCAUUUGAUCAAUAAAAGGUAAAGGGUAAUGAUCUUUCUUAGUAGCUUUAUUUAAUUUACGGAAAUCAAUUACCAUCCUAUAACCUGUAAUAAUUCUUUGCGGGAUCAAUUCAUCUUUAUCAUUAGGAACAAUGGUAAUGCCUCCCUUUUUAGGAACACAAUGGAUAGGGCUUACCCAAUCACUAUCAACAAUGGGAUAAAAUAUACCUACCUCAAGGACCUUUAGUAUCUCCUUUCUUACCACUUCUUUCAACUUAGGAUCCAAUCGUCGUUGAGGAUCUCUAACUGGUUUGGCAUCAUCCUCCAAAUUAAUUUUGUGUUGACAUAACGUGGGACUAAUGCCCUUGAGAUCAUCCAGAGUAUAUCCAAUGGCAGCACGGUGCUUCUUCGGAGUUUUCAAUAAUCUUUCUUCUUCUUGCUCUGAAAGGUUAGCACUAAUAAUAACAGGAUAUAUUUUCUUUUCAUCAAGAUAAGCAUACUUAAGAUUAUCUGGUAAUGGUUUGAGCUCAAACACGGGAUCACCCUUGGGUGAAGGGGGAUCCCCUAGAAUUUCAACGGGAAGGUUAUGUUUCAAAAUAGGUUCCUGUUGAAGGAACACUUUAUCUACUUCCCUUCUUUCCUUCAUAAACAUAUCGUUUUCAUGGUCUAGCAAAUAUUGUUCUAACGGAUCAGUAGGAGGCACGGCAAUAGAAGCAAGAGCAAUAAUCUCAUCCUUACUAGGUGAUUCUCUAUCACGAGGUUGUCUAUGAAACUUAGCAAAAUUAAGCUCAUGAGACAUACCCUCUAAGCCAAUUGUGACAUUAUCCUUUUCACAAUCAAUCCUAGCAUUAACUGUAUUCAAGAAGGGUCUACCAAAAAUAAUGGGACAAAAGUCAUCUUGUGGGGAACUAAGAACAAGAAAAUCAGCAGGGUAUUUAACCUUCCCACACAAGACUUCAACAUCUCUAACAAUCCCAAUUGGUGAAAUAGUAUCUCUAUUGGCCAGUUUGAUAGCAACAUCAAUACCUUCCAAUUCAACGGGUGCAAUGUCAGGCAUAAUCUCUUUAUAUAAAUCAUAGGGUAUUGCACUAGAACUAGCACCCAUAUCACAUAAGCCGUGAUAACAAUGAUCUCCUAUUUUAACAGAAAUAACAGGUAUGCCUACCACAGGUCUAUGUAUCUUAGUAUCUGGUCUAACAAUAUUAGCAGUCUCACCACAGAAAUAAAUAACAUGCCCAUUUAAAUCAUCAUCCAAGAGAUCUUUAACCAUAGCAAUACUAGGUUCAACUUUGAUUUGCUCAGGAGGUGUAUAAGUCCUAAUAUUACUCUUACAAAUAACAGCCGAAGUUUUAGCAUGAUCCUUUAUCCUAACAGGAAAAGGAGGUUUCUCAACAUAAGUUGUAGGAACAAUAGGAUCACUAUAAGUGACAGUCUUUUCUUCAACUGCAAUAGGUGCAACUACUUUUACUUCAAUGGGAGGAUUAUAUUUAAACCACUUCUCCUUAGGGAGAUCAACGUGAGUAGUAAAAGAUUCACAGAAAGAAGCUACUAUCUCAGAGUCAAAUCCACAUUUAGCGCUAAAUCCACGAAAAGCAUCGGUAUCCAUAAAAGAUUUAACACAAUCAAACUUAGGUGUCAUACCUGACUCCUUACCAUCGUCGGAACCCCAAUCUUCAGAGUUGCGUUUAAUUCUUUCCAAUAAGUCCCAUUUGAAUUCAAUAGUCUUCAGCAUAUAAGAACUAGCACAGGGAGUAUCGAGCAUGUUGCGAUCAUUGAGAGAAAGCCGAGUAUAAAAAUUUUGAAUAAUCAUUUCUCUAGAGAGCUCAUGAUUGGGGCAUGAAUAUAACAUUGACUUAAGCCUCCCCCAAGCUUAAGCAAUGCUUUCUUCUUCGCGAGGCCUGAAAUUAUAUAUGUAAUUACGAUCACGAUGAACAAGAUGCAUAGGAUAGAACUUCUGGUGAAAUUCCAACUUCAAUCGUUUAUAAUUCCAAGAUCCCGUAUCAUCACAUAGCCUAUACCAUGUCAAUGCAACUCCCUUCAAAUAUAAAAGGAAGACCUUCCUUUUGACAACAUCAUCGGGAAUACCUGCAAGCUUAAAUAAUCCACAAACUUCAUCCACAAAGAUAAGGUGUAAAUCAGGAUGCAAUGUUCCAUCUCCUGCAAAUGGAUUAGCUAGCAGAUUCUCUAUCAUACCUGAAGGAAUAUCAAAGUAAAUAUUUUCAGUAGGUUCAGUAGGUUGAGGAGCAACUCUUUGCUCUUUUGGUCGGGGUGAAGAUACCCCGAACAAGCCCCUCAAAGGAUUAGUUUCCAUAGUAACAAGUGAUAGAAAAUUUCAGCACACAAUAUGAAUGUUUCCUUACCAAGUUCCACUCACCAAAAGCGCUACGCUCCCCGGCAACGGCGCCAGAAAAGAGUCUUGAUGACCCACAAGUGUAGGGGAUCUAUCGUAGUCCUUUCGAUAAGUAAGAGUGUCUAACCCAACGAGGAGCAGAAGGAAAUGAUAAGCGGUUUUCAGUAAGGUUUUCUCUGCAAGCACUGAAAUUGAAGGUAACAGAUAGUUUUGUGAUAAGAUAAAUUGUAACGAGUAACAAGCAAAUAAAGUAAAUAAAGUGCAGCAAGGUGGCCCAAUCCUUUUUGUAGCAAAGGACAAGCCUGGACAAUUUCUUAUAAUGAGAAAAGAGCUCCCGAGGACACAUGGGAAUUACCAUCAAGCUAGUUUUCAUCACGUUCAUAUGAUUCGCGUUCGGUACUUUGAUAAUUUGAUAUAUGGGUGGACCGGUGCUUUGGUACUUCCCUUACUUGGACAAGCAUCCCACUUAUGAUUAACCCCUAUUGCAAGCAUCCGCAACUACAAAAGAAGUAUUAAGGUAAACCUAACCACAGCAUGAAACAUAUGGAUCCAAAUCAGCCCCUAACGAAGCAACGCAUAAACUAGGGUUUAAGCUUCUGUCACUCUAGCAACCCAUCAUCUACUUAUUACUUCCCAAUGCCUUCCUCUAGGCCCAACUAAUGGUGAAGUGUCAUGUAGUCGAUGUUCACAUAACACCACUAGAGGAAAGACAACAUACAUCUCAUCAAAAAUAUCGAACGAAUACCAAAUUCACAUGACUACUAAUAGCAAGACUUCACCCAUGUCCUCGGGAACAAACGUAACUACUCACAAAGCAUAUUCAUGUUCAUAAUCAGAGGAGUAAUAAUAUGCAUUAAGGAUCUGAACAUAUGAUCUUCCACCAAGUAAACCAAUUAGCAUCAACUACAAGGAGUAAUCAACACUACUAGCAACCCACAGGUACCAAUUUGUGGUUUUGAUACAAGAUUGGAUACAAGAGAUGAACUAGGGUUUUGAGAGGAGAUGGUGCUGGUGAAGAUGUUGAUGGAUAUUGACCCCCUCCUGAUGAGAGGAUCGUUGGUGAUGACGAUGGUGAUGAUUUCCCCCUCCCGGAGGGAAGUGUCCCCGGCAGAAUAGCUCUGCUGGAGCUCUAGAUUGGUUCCGCCAAGGUUCCGCCUCGUGGCGGCGGAGUUUCGUCCCGUAAGCUUGCCCCUUAUUUUUUCGAGGGUAAAAGCCUUCAUAUAGCAGAAGAUGGACAGCGGAGGGCCACCAGGGGGCCCAGGAGACAGGGGGCGCGCCCAGUAGGGGCGGGCGCACCCCCACCCUCCUGGCCAGGGUGUGGGCCCCCUCUCGUGUUUCUUCUGCUCAAUAAUUCUUAUUAAUUCCAAAAAUAAGUUUCGUGGAGUUUCAGGAUUUUUGGAGCAGUGCAGAAUAGGUUUCCAAUGUUUGCUCCUUUUCCAGCCAGAAUUCCAGCUGCCGGCAUUCCCCCUCUUCAUGGUAAACUUUGUAAAAUAAGAGAGAAUAGCCAUAAGUAUUGAGAUAUAAUGUGUAAUAACAGCCCAUAAUGCAAUAAAUAUUGAUAUAAAAGCAUGAUGCAAAAUGGACGUAUCACCUUGCAAUUUAUCCCUAGUUUUAUUCUUGCAAAGUACUCGUAGUUUUAUUCUUCCCAAAUAGUUUUAUACUUGUUCUAGGUAAAACAAAUGUCAAGUGUGUGUAGAGUUGUAUCGGUGGUUGAUAGAACUUGAGGGAUUAUUUGUUCUACCUUUAUCUUCUCAUUGGGUUCGACACUCUUAUUUAUCAAACAAGGCUACAAAUGAUCCCCUAUACUUGUGGGUUAUCAAGACCUUUUUCUGGCGUUGUUGCCGUGGAGCAAUAGCGUGGGGUGAAUAUUCUCGUGUGUGCUUGUUUGCUUUAUCACUAAGUAGUUUUUAUUUUCUGUUCUAAGUUGUUCUAUAUCUUUAGUUAUGGAUAUGGAACAAGAAACACCAAAAAAUUGUACUUGCUACUCAUGGAGACGGGGAACCUCCUAAAACCCUCGAAGCUCGUUAUGUGAAAAAUAUUAAACACUACUUUGAUAAUCCUGAGAAAAUAAAAACUACACAAUAUGAAUUAUGCUUAUGGAGAUGAACUUGCUAUGGUUCCUUAUGUUAAGAAUGAAAUUGUUGCUAUUGCACCCACACAUGAUAGUCCUAUUAUUUUUUGAAUUCUCCAAACUACACAAUAUCGGAGAAGUUUGCACUUAUUACGUACAUUGAUGGGUUGCCUUUUAUCGUUGCACAUGAUAAUUUUGAUGAAUAUAAUAUGCAUGUGCUUGCUGCUCCUAAUUGCAAUUAUUAUGAGAGAGGAACUAUAUCUCCGCCUCUCUAUGUUUCCAACAUGAUAAAAUUGCAAGAAAUUUCUUAUACUAUGCAUUGGCCUUUACUUGAUAUGCAUGAAUUCUUCUUUUAUGACAUGCCGAUGCAUAGGAAGAGAGUUAAACUUCGUCAUUGCAUGAUAUAUGUUGCUUUGUAUUCACUACUAAAUGCCAAAUCAUUGUUAACUAAAAUUGGCUUUGAUAUACCUUGGGAUCCGGGUGGAUCCAUUACUUGAGCACUUUAUGCCUAGCUUAAUGGCUUUAAAGAAAGCACUGCCAGGGAGACAACCCAGAAGUUUUAGAGAGUCAUUUAUUUCUGUCGAGUGCUUCUAUAAAGUUUAAAAACAAAAAAUAUAGAGGGGGACCUAAAUUUGUUUUCAAAAAGAGAAGUGAUUGAAAGGUGAUGCAUUGGAGAAAUGAGGGUCGACCUUUAACACUUGUGUUCAUGCUCAUGGAAACAAUGUAAAAUUUUCAUGAAAGUUCUUGCAAAACUAAUUACCCCCUUGUACAAAUCCAUUGUAUUAUAAAAAUAAUGUGCCAAGAUUUGCCUUUAGGAUGAGUAGAUUGCUUGUUGGUAUGUGCGGUGCAAAAAACAGAAACUUUGGUUGUAGUGCGCGAUUUUACAUUUUUUUACUGGAAUGUCAAAAGUUUCUGAAACUUUUUGCAUAGUAUUGCUAUAAGAAUGUUUUAUUUUUCCUAAUUUUUAAGAAUUUUUGGAAUUAUAUAAGUAUGGAAGAUGUUCAGAUUGCUACAAACUAUCAUGCUUAAGACAUAUUUUGUUUUUGAUGCAUUGUUUUGCUUGUUUUGAUGAAACUAUCGAUUCUAUCGGUGGUAUAAGCCAUGGAAAGUUAUAAUAUAGUAGCUAAAAUGCAAAAAUAAGAUAUGAAUUGGUUUGCAAUAGUACUUAGAGUAGUGAUUUGCAUUACUAUACUAACGGAUCUCACCAAUUUUUCUGUUCAGUUUUGUGUGGAUGAAGUGUUCAAAGAUCGAGGAAGUCUUGAUAUGAGGAGAAGGAGACGAGGCAAGAGAUCAAGCUUGGGGAUGCCCAAGGCACCCCAAGUAAAUACCCAAGGAGACUCAAGCGUCUAAGCUUGGGGAUGCCCCGGAAGGCAUCCCAUCUUUCUUCAACAAGUAUCGGUAUGUCUACGGUUUCGUUUCGUUCAUGUGAUAUGCGUAAAUCUUGGAGCAUCUUUUGUGUUUAGUUUUUACUUUUCUUUUAUGAACCAUGCUGGUAUGAGAUAGUACAUGGUUGAUUUAUAGAAUGCUCAUUGCAAUUCACUUAUAUCUUUUGAGUAUGGCUUUAUAGAAUGCUUCAUGUGCUUCACUUAUAUCAUUUGAAGUUUGGAUUGUCUGUUUCUCUUCACAUAGAAAACCAAAUGCUCUUUUGCUUCAUUUAUAUUUAUUAGAGCAUGGUCUUUUCUGGAAAGAAUUAAACUCUCAUGCUUAACUUUUAUCUAUUUAGAGAGUGAACAGGAAUUGUUCUAUUGCAUGGUUAGUCAUAAAAUCCUACAUAAAACUUGUGGAUCACUGAAUAUGAUAUGUUUGAUUCCUUGCAAUAGUUUUGCGAUAUAGAGAUGGAAUAUGUGGGAGGUACUAGUGGAUGAUCGUGUUUAGUAACAUAUUGGUGUUAAGGUUUGUGAUUCCCGAAGCAUGCACGUAUAGUCUCUCGUUAUGUUAUGAAUUUGGAGCAUGAUUUAUUAUUGAUUGUCUUCCUUUGCGUAGAGGUCGGGGGCGCGCGAUGGUUAACUCCUACCAACCCCCCCUAGGGGCAUGCGCAGUAGUACUUUGCUUCGAGGGCUAAUAAACUUUUGUGGUAAGUAUAUGAGUUCUUUAUGACUAAUGUGAGUCCAUGGAAUAUAUGCACUCUGACCUUUCCACAAUUUGCUAUCCUCUACGGUAACGUGCAUUGCCUUUUCUCACCUCGAGAGUGGGUGCAAACUUCGCCGAUGCAUCCAAACCCCGUGGUAUGAUACACUCUAUCACACAUAAGCCUUAUUAUAUCUUCCUCAAAACAGCCACCAUACCUACCUAUUAUGACCUUUCCACAACCAUUCCAAUAUAUAUUUCCAUGCAACUUCCACCGCUUUCGUUUUGAUGACUUGAGCAUUCAUUGUCAUAUUGCUUUGCAUGAUCAUAUAGCUGACAUAGUAUUUGUGGCUCAGCCACCGUUCAUCAUUUUUAUACAUGUUACGCUAGAUCAUGCACAUCCUGGUACACUGCCAGAGGCAUUCAUAUAGAGUCAUAUUUUGUUAUAGGUAUCGAGUUGUAAUAUUGAGUUGUAAGUAAAUAAAAGUGUGAUGAUCAUCAACUUUCAUUAUUAGAGCAUUGUCCCAGUGAGGAAUGGAUGAUGGAGACUAUGAUUCCCCCACAAGUCGGGAUGAGACUCCGGACAAAGACGGAGAAAAGAUAAAAAGAAAAGAAAAAAGAAAAAAGAAAAAAAAGAAAAAGAAAAAGAAAAAAGAGACAAAUAGAGAAGGGGCAUGCUAAUUCCACACUUGUGGUUCAAAGUAGCACCAUGUUUUUCAUAUGGAGAGUCUCCUAUGUUGUCACUUCCAUAUACUAGUGAGAAUUUUUCAUUAUAGGAUUAGAUGCACACCCACUUAGUUUUCAUGUUGAGCUUUCAUACACUUAUAGCUCUUAGUGCGUUUGUUGCAUGGCAAUCCCUACUCCUCACAUUGAUAUCAAUUGAUGGGCAUCUCCAUAGCCCAUUGGUUAGCCGCGUCGAUGUGAGACUUUCUUGCUUUUUGUCUUCUAUAUAUUUAACCCUAUCAUCAUACUCUAUUCCAGCUAUAGUGCUAUAUCCAUGCCUUUCUCAUGUAUUGAGUGAGAGUUGAAAAGGCUGAAGCGCGUUAAAAAGUAUGAACCAAUUGCUUGGCUGACACCGGGGUAGUACAUGAUAAAUACUUUAUGUUAAGAAGAUGGAGCAUGACAAGACUAUAUGAUUUUGUAGGGAUAGCAUUCUUUAGCAUUGAUAUUUUAAAAAACAUGAUUGUUUGUUGGGAUGCCUGAGUAUUGAUGUCUUUAUGUCAAAUUAUAGACUAUUGCUUUGAAUCACUCGUGUCUUAAUAUUCAUGCCACGAUUAGAUAUAUGAUCAAGAUUAUGCUAGGUAGCAUUCCACAUCAAAAAUUAUCUUUUUUAUCAUUUACCUACUCGAGGACGAGCAGGAAUUAAGCUUGGGGAUGCUGAUACGUCUCCGUCGUAUCUAUACUUUUUUAUUGUUUCAUGCCAAUAUUAUGCAAGUUUCACAUACUUUUGGCAAAAUUUUAUAUGAUUUAUUUGACUAACCUAUUGAUCCAGUGCCCAGUGCCAGUUCCUGUUCUUUGCAUGUUUUUUUGUUUCACAGAAUAUCCAUAUCAAACAAAGUCCAAAUGCAAUAAAAUUUUAUGGAGAUUUAUUAUGGAAUAUAUGUGAUUUUUGGGACUUGGAAUCAAUGCAAACGGGGCCCAUAGCCCCCACAAGACACCAGGGCACGCCCCAGGGGCCAGGCGCGCGAUGGUGGGUUGUGCUCACCUUGUACGUCGGUUGGGGCUCUACUUUAGGCGGAAGGAAGCUUAUAUCCGAAAAAAAUCGUGUUAAAAUCUCAGCGCAAUCGAAGUUAUGGAUCUCCGGGAAUAUAAGAAACGGUUUUCGGCCAGAAAACAGGAACACGAAACAGAAGAGAACAUGGGGAUAGAUCCAAUCUCGGAGGGGCUCCCGCCCCUCCACCGCCAUGGAGGCCAUGGACCAGAGGGGGAACUCUCCUCCCAUCUAGGCGGGAGGCCAAGGAAGAAGAAGAAGGAGGGGGCUCUCUCCCCCUCUCUCUCGGUGGCGCCGGAGUCUCGUUGGGGCAAGGAUCGUGACGGCGAUCUACAUCAACAAUCUUGCUACAGUCAAUACCAACUUUCUUCCCCUCUAUGCAGUGGUGUAACACCCCUUCUCCUCACUAUAAUCUCUACUUAAACAUGGUGCUCAACUCCAUAUAUUAUUUCCCAAUGAUCUAUGGUUAUCCCAUGAUGUUUGAGUAGAUCCGUUUUGUCCUAUGGGUUAAUCGUGAUCUUGGUUGGUAUGAGUGUAUAUUUUAUUUAUGGUGCUGUCCUACGGUGCCCUCCGUCUCACGCAAACGUGAGGGGUCCCCGUUGUAGGGUGUUGCAAUACUUUCAUGGUUUGCUUAUUGUCGGCUGUCGGGGUGACAGCAGCCUGAAAACGAAUAAGUGGGUUAUGGCAUAUUGGAGUAAAGAAGACUUGAUACUUAAUGCUAUGGUUGGGUUUCAUGACCUUAAUGAUCUUUAGUAGUUGUGGAUUAUUGCUAGGGUUCCAAUCAUAAGUGCAUAUGAUCCAAGUAGAGAAAGUAUGUUAGCUCAUGGCUCUCCCUUAUACAAAAUUGCAUGAAUGAUUUGUCACAUCCCUAGCUUCUGGCUUUGCAUUAGGCUAGCUUCAUGCAUGCAUCAUGUUUAAAUUUUAUUUAACUUGAAAUGGGGAUUGCUCAAACCCUAGCACCAGAUCAAAUCAACUAGGUUCAAAUAAAAAAAUAUUCUCAAUGAACCCAAAAUGCCUUCAGAAAAGUUCAUCAUAAUUGAUUGGUUUAAAACCUCUGCCAAAAAUGGUGCACAUAUUUCUAGGUCCAUUUUGGAUUUUCGAAUUAAUUCAUAAAGUAUUUGAAUUUGGGAAUUUAAAUGCUAUAAAUAAUUUAAAUGCUCAAAUAAUUCUGAAACUAAAUGUGGGUUGUUGCAUAUAUUUCAGAAGGUGGCCACAAUUAUUUUCAGGAUUUUUAGAAGUGCUCUGGUAUUUUUAAUAAAGCCCAAACAACUACAAAAAAAUAGAAAAUAGAAAUAAAAUAGAAAGAGAUAAGAUAGAGAAAGAGAGAGGAAGCCCACCUGGGCCACUUACCUGGUCGGCCCAGUUGGCAGCCCAGCCAACAUGCCCAGCCCACCAGGGGCAGCGCUGUCUUCUUCCUCCUGCCAGGAGGAGAAGCAGCUGCGUGCCUGGCGCAUAGCCGAGCCGCUCCAGCUCCUCCCUGCAUGCAUGCCGCCUCCUCGACUCCUCCAGACGUGCCACGGAGAUGCCCAGCACCCCCUGCACCCAUAUCCUCUCUCCUUGGACCUCUCUCCCUCCUCUGCUCUCUCCCUACGACACCACCGAACACGGCCAUCACCGCCGUUCGCCGUUGCCACGACCACCGCCGUCCCGAUGAUGCCCCGAGUUGUUCCCGAGCUCCUGCACCUCGUCCCCAACCCCCUCACCGAGCCACGCGACUGGAAGACCCCCGAAGCACCGCCCCUACAUCUUCUUCCUCCUCGGGUCUCCGAGAUCGCCGGCGGCCGCGCGUUGAUUCACUGGAACCAGGACCUCCCCGAGCCCGGCGAGCUGUUCUUCGAGAUCGUUGUGAGCUCCUCUUCCUUUCCCCUCAUAUUCCAUGGUGAUUUUCGUUCGUUAGCUCGAUUUCCGCCAUUGCCGAGAGCGCCCGCCGCCGUGUCGCAUCGCCGCUGUGGCCUGAGCUCGACCUGCUCCCGUCCGAGCAUGCAGUAGUGCUCCAGGAGCUCCCAUGGUGCUCAUGUGCUACUCACCUGCUCUAUAGCAAGCUGCAACCCCGCGCACGAUCGAACCCGAGCCGCUGCCACCGCCGAACCUCGUCGCCGACCACUCUUCCAGCGACUCCAGCACCAACCGCCACCACCCCUAGAUGCGCUGCACUGCCAGCUUUCCAACGGGACCGACCGCGCCCCGAACCGCCCCUUGUAUGUGAAACCCGAGCCUCUCCGGCGAGCCACCACCGCGGAAUGUGGUCGCCGGCGAGUAACCCCGGUGACCGCUGACGUGGCACCCCCAUUAGCCACUAAUGACCCUAGUAACUAAAACCCUGACCCACUUACAUAUGGGCCCCACGCCCUUAAUUAACCAUAGUUUAAUUUCUGUUUAGUUUUAACUAAUCACAGUGGCCCACGCGUCAGCACUGACCUUGCUGAUGUGGCCAUUGACCGACCCCACCUGCCAGUGACCCAGGGCAGCACUGUGUCGCUGACCAGUGGGACCCACUGGUCAGAUUUGACCCGGCUGACCUCUGUUGACCUAAUGAUGUCAUGCUGACGCAGUGCUGACGCAAUAUUCCUUUUCUGGAAUUUAGCUUAAUUUCUAAAUAAUCAGGAAAAUCCAGAAAAUGUUUAAAACUUCUAAAAUUCCUAUAAAAUCAACCGUAACUCCAAAUGAAAUAUUUAUAUAUGAAAAAUGAUCAUAAAAAUACAAUCUAUCCAUUUGUACCAUUUGCAUGCAUGUUUGAGCAAGUUAACUUCACUUUUUAGGAUGAAGCAUGAAUAGGACAACUUUGAUGAUAGUUUUGGAGUUGGAAUUGAUGUAGUAUUGAAUUCCACUUCAAUCAAAUGACUUGCUGUUGCAUUAGCCCAAAUCACAGCAUAUUGCCAUGUCAUGAGCAUGCAUCAUAUUGUUGCAUUGCAUUGAUUGUGUUUCCUUCUCUGUUGCCAGCAAUUGUCCCCUCUCAGUAGACGUGGUUCCGACGAUGAGAUCGAUGACACUGAUGAAGAGAUAUACUAUCUUCAGAAAUGCCAGGCAAGCAAAAACCCCUUGUUAAUUCCGAUACAAUCCCACUCUCUUGCUCUUGCUCUCUUUUACUGCAUUAGGACAACAACGAUUCAUCUGUUACAUGUUGCGGUAGCUGAACCCCUUUCCUCUUCAUGACCUGUCAUUGCCACAGUAAAUAAAUGAAACCCACUAGCAUGAGUAGGAGUUGUUUGAGCCCUGUUGUGCCUACUCAUACUUGCUUGUUUGUCAUGCCUGCUACUGCUUAGAGUUGAGUCAGGUCUGAUUCAUCAGGGAUGAACUGGAACAGUGAUGAACAUGUCCUACUGUGUGUGUGAGCAAAGUGUGUGAACACGAUUUGGUAAAGGUAGUUAUGAGAGGCCAUGUAGGAGUACAUGGUGGGUUGUCUCAUUGAAACCGUCCUCAGGAACUGAGUUCUGUGUUGCUAUCCAUGAACAGUUACUACCACACAUUGGGUUUCGGUAACUCGACCCCUCUCGACUUAUUAAUCAACUCGAUCUCUGUCCAAGAGUUGCAACUAGUUUCUGGUGUUUGUAGGUGGUGUUAGUAGUCUACCAAGUGGCACCCGAUACAGGUGGGCUUGGGACAGACUAGGCACAGUGGCACGGUGUACCAAGUGGCACCCAGAUGGUGGGCUUGGGAACCCUGCACACUUCGUUUGGGGUCGUGAGCGACACCCCGGCCGGAUCUCCUUGCUGAUGGAACCCGAAUAGGCGAUAAGCCUGGAUGAGAGACUUGUGUGGUUAGUCAGGUCGUGGCUGACACCCUCACUGGGCUUUCGCUUGAAGGUUGCCGAGUACAUGUCGUGUAAACGGCGAUAAGUGGUGAGAGCGUGUGUGAAGAAGUACACCCCUGCAGGGUUAACAUUAUCUAUUCGAAUAGCCGUGUCCGCGGUAAAGGACUUAUGGGUUGCCUGUACAGUUCAUAGACAAGUGAAAGUGGAUACUCUAAAAUACGCAAGAUAAGCGUGAGUGCUAUGCAUGGCGUUCUCGUAGGGAGAUGGGAGCGGAUCCAUAGUGGUGUAUUGAAAUGGUGAAUAUGUGGACUCGUGUGCGCCACCUCAAAAGAGUUACUUGCAGUCGUAGUUCAGGAUAGCCACCGAGUCAAAGCUGGCUUGCUGCAGUCAAACCCCACCAACCCUUUGUUGAUAAUGAUGCAUAUGUAGUUAGAUCUGAUGUAAGUCUUGCUGGGUACAUUUGUACUCAUGUUUGCUUAAUCUAUGUUUUUUGCAGAGAGACUUCAGUCUCGCUAGUAGUUCCGUGUAGACUUCGACGUUUAGCUUGUUACCUCAGCUACGAUCUUGUGCCCUCGGCAGGAUCUGGUAGAUAGUUAGGCUUCUCAGCGUCUUUCAUUUGUAGAUGUCUGUACUCAUACAUGUUAAGCUUCCGUUUUGUGCUUUGACUUGUGUGCUCUGAAUGUUGGGUCAUGAGACCCAUGUUUGUAAUAUCUCACUCCUCGGAGCCUAUUGAAUAAGAUACUUGAGUUGUAGAGUCAUGUUGUGAUGACAUGUUGUAUUUGCACAUAUCGAGCAUAUUGUGUGUAUGUUAUUGAAAUGCUUGGUAUGUGUGGGAUCUGACUAUCUAGUUGUUUAUUCUUGGUAGCCUCUCUUACCGGGAAAUGUCUCCUAGUGCUUCCACUGAGCCUUGGUAGCUUGCUACUGCUCCGGAACACUUAGGCUGGCCGGCAUGUGUCCUUCUUCGUUCCUGUGUCUGUCCCUUUGGGGAAAUGUCACGAGGUGUCUACCGGAGUCCUGUUAGCCUGGUACAACCCGGUUUACUGGAGUCCUGCUAGCCCAGUUGCUACAGCCCGGAUUCACUCGUGAUGACCGACACGUUCGUCGCUGGGUCAUGUAUGCUUGUCCCUGUAAGUUAGUGCCACUUUGGGUUCACGACUAGCCAUGUCAGCCUGGGCUCCUUGUUGAUAGAGGCAAAGUGUCCCGUCUUUUGAUGAGAUGAUGGAUUUCGCUUUGGUGGAAGUCGACUUUGACAAUCCGACUAUGAACGUGCGAGGAUGUCGCGCCUUAGCAAUUGCUAAACCAACUCCGAGAGGUUAUUGACCACGCUGGAGCACGAUCAACCUGACCACGAGGGUCUGUUUCCUGCGAGCAAAUGAAGAACAAGCAAGAAACUGAGAUUGCAAUCUAGAUAUUGCGAAUAUAAGAUGAAAGCUUUAUUGAUCAAGGUGGGGUUUUGUGACGCCUUUGUCUGGUUGUUGAACACAAACGAAGUACGCGAAGUUGCAGCUAUGGUGAACUUUUAAUCUAAACAAAACCCAAAGUCUAAAUGAUGCCCUAAGGGCUAUAUAUAUGGAGGAAGAGAGGGGAAUUUCGUGCCCUUGGUGGAGGGGUCCGAAAUCAACCCUAUCUCUUGUUUUCCCACACACACGGACUCUAAAAAUAGCCUAUACUUAUGUAUUUCGAAAUUACAUGGGCUUGGCCCAAUAAUAAGGUGAUGCAGCACCUAGAAUAGCCUCGGGACGAAAUUUAUGAAGUGGCAUCUUGUAUAUUUCGUCCAAGUCUUCAUGCACCCAUUAUGGUGGCUUCAAAGUCCUGAAAUCAUCGCUUGUAUCUCCGUUCUUGUUCCCCUUGCGCAUGCCAUCAUCUCCAUGCUUGUUCGUGCUCCAAUGUUCAUCCUUCUCCAAGCUAGGACCUUCAUUUGUAAGCAAAACAAAUGUAUCCAAUUUAGGCAGCAUCAUAUUCUCAUGAACAUUAGAAUCAUUACCAAGAAACAAAAGUACCUGAUAAUUCAAUUGGCGUGCACAAGCUCUAGUAAUUGUUCCAGUAUAUGUAGCAGUAGGGGUUGUGGGUGUAACAAUGGUAUUGAUGUCCUCAUCAUCCUCCCCUUCUUGAAAUGAAGUCGUCCUCAACGGAAGCUCAUCUUCCUCACCUAAAUAAGGCUUCAAAUCUGCAAUGUUAAAAGUGGGACUAACCCCAAAAUCUGCAGGCAGCUGAAGUUUAUAUGCAUUAUAAUUUAUUUUCUCCAACACCUUAAAAGGACCAUUAGCACGAGGCAUUAGCUUUGAUUUGUGCAAAUCAGGAAAUCUAUCCUUACACAAAUGUAACCAAACAAGAUCUCCAGGUGCAAACACAACAUGUUCUCUAUCCUUAUCUCCAGCAAGUUUAUAUUUAACAUUCAUACGCUCAAUGUUUUCCUUAGUUAACUCAUGCAUUUUUAAAAUUAAUUCAGCACGUUGUUUAGCAUCAAAAUUAACCUUAUCCGAAGAUGGAAGAGGCAACAAAUCAAUAGGUGCACGAGGUAAGAAACCAUACACAAUUUCAAAAGGGCACAUCUUAGUAGUAGAAUGCAAUGAACGAUUAUAAGCAAAUUCAAUAUGAGGCAAGCAUUCUUCCCACAUUUCCUUAUUAUUCUUCAAAACAGCCCUAAGCAUAGUAGACAAUGUUCUAUUGACUACUUCAGUUUGUCCAUCAGUUUGGGGGUGACAAGUAGUACUAAAAAGCAGUUUAGUCCCCAACUUAGCCCAUAAACAUCUCCAAAAGUGGCUAAGAAAUUUAGUAUCACGAUAUGAAACAAUAGUAUUUGGCACACCAUGCAAGCAAAUAAUUUCACAAAAGAACAAAUCAGCAACAUUAACAGCAUCAUCGCUUUUAUGACAUGGUAUAAAGUGUGCCAUUUUCGAGAAUCUAUCCACGACAACAAAUAUGUUAUCCCUCCCCUUCUUUGUUCGAUGUAAACCUAAAACAAAGUCCAUGGAUAUAUCCUCCCAAGGAACACUAGGUACAAGCAAAGGCAUAUAUAAACCAUGAGGAUUGAGUCGUGACUUAGCUUUUUGACAUGUAGUGCAGCGAGCAACAAAGCGCUCAACAUCCCGUCUCAUCUUUGGCCAAAAGAAAUGUGUAGCAAGUACGUCCUUUGUCUUCUUCACGCCAAAGUGUCUCAUUAAUCCUCCUCCAUGCGCCUCCUGCAACAACAAAAGACGAACGGAGCUAGCUGGAAUGCAUAGCUUGUUAGCACGGAACACAAAACCAUCAUUACCGACGAACUUGUUCCAUGUUCUACUUUCGUUACAAUUCUGCAAUACAUCUUUAAAAUCAGCAUCAUGCACAUAUUGAUCUUUGAUGGUCUCCAAACCAAAUAUUUUGAAGUCAAGUUGUGAAAGCAUAGUCUAGCAACGAGAUAAUGCAUCAGCAAUAACAUUUUCUUUACCCUUCUUGUGUUUAAUGACAUAAGGGAAUGCCUCAAUGAAUUCAACCCAUUUAGCAUGUCUACGAUUCAGUUUAGCUUGACUUUUAAUACGUUUCAAAGAUUCAUGAUCAGAGUGUAUAACAAAUUCUUUGGGCCAUAAAUAAUGUUGCCAUGUUUCUAAAGUCCGAACAAGAGCAUAUAAUUCUUUAUCAUAAGUAGAAUAAUUCAGACUAGGCCCACUCAAUUUUUCAGAAAAGUAUGCAACAGGUUUGCCAUCUUGUAAUAACACACCUCCUAAUCCAAUUCCACUAGCAUCACAUUCAAGCUCAAAAGUCUUAUCAAAAUCAGGAAGUUGGAGUAAAGGAGCAUGUGUCAACCUAUCUUUCAAUACCGUGAAGGCUUCUUCCUGUGCGGUACCCCAAAGAAAAGGCACAUAUUUCUUUGUAAGCUCAUUGAGAGGUGCAGCAAUGGUGCUGAAAUCUCUCACAAAACGCCUAUAGAAUCCAGCGAGGCCAAGAAAACUCCUCACUUGUGUGACCGUUUUGGGCUGCGGCCAACUCUCAAUAGCUUCAAUCUUGGCUUUAUCAACUUCAAUUCCCUGUGGAGUAACAACAUAGCCAAGAAAAUAUACUCGGUCGGUGCAAAAGGUGCACUUCCCAAGGUUACCAAACAAACGUGCAUCACGUAAAGCAAUAAAAAUAGCAUGUAAAUGUUCCAAAUGUUCCUCCAAAGAUCUGCUAUAAAUCAGUAUAUCAUCAAAAUAGACUACCACAAAUCGUCCAAUAAAAGCACGUAAAACUUCGUUCAUUAAUCUCAUGAAAGUACUAGGUGCAUUAGUUAACCCAAAAGGCAUGACUAACCACUCAUAUAAUCCAAACUUAGUUUUAAAUGUCGUUUUCCAUUCAUCUCCCAAUUUCAUUCGAAUUUGAUGGUAUCCACUAUGCAAAUCAACUUUGGAGAAUAUUGUAGAGCCACUCAAUUCAUCAAGCAUAUCAUCUAGCCUAGGAAUAGGAUGACGAUAACAAAUAGUAAUAUUAUUAAUGCCUCUACAAUCAACACACAUACGUGAUGUACCAUCCUUUUUCGGCACUAGAAUAAUAGGAACAGCACAAGGACUAAGGGAUUCGCGUAUAUAACCUUUGUCGAGCAGCUCCUAUACUUGCCGCAUAAUCUCCUUCGUCUCCUCUGGAUUGGUACGGUAUGGUGCACGGUUGGGUAAUGAUGCACCAGGAAUUAAGUCAAUCUGAUGCUCAAUCCCUCGAAUGGGAGGUAAUCCCGGUGGCAUGUCUUGUGGAAAGACGUCAGCGAACUCCUGCAAAAUGUUAGUGACAGCAGGAGGCAAAGAGGAAGGCACGUCCUCAAAUGAAAAUAAUGCCUCUUUGCACACAAAAGCAUAGCAAACAGAUUUGCUGAAAUCUAGCUCAUCAAUAUCAGAUUUAGUGGCAAGUAAACAUGCACUUUUCAAUUUAAUUUCAGAAACAACACUAGAUGGUUUACUAUUAGGCUUCAUUUGUUGCUCAAAUUCUUUUGCCACAAUCUGAUUUUCACUCUUAUUGGUCUCCUGUUUUGCUUUAUUAGCUCUAUUAAUAUCAUCUUUCAAAAUGGAAUCAGGAGUCAUAGGAAGCAAGUAAUAUUUUUAUCCUUAUGAACCAGAGUAUAAUGAUUGUUUCUACUAUGGUGUACAGAAUUUUUAUCAAAUUUCCAUGGUCGACCAAGUAAUAAGGAACAUGCUUGCAUAGGUACCACAUCACAAUCAACAUAAUCAGCAUAUGUAGAGAUACUAAAAUGCACACGAAUAGUACGUGUUACCUUAACCUUGCUGCUGUUGUUGAACCAUUGGAUGUAGUAAGGAUGUGGAUGUGGUCUUGUGGUGAGAGAUAGCUUCUCCACCAUAUCCAUGCUAGCCAAGUUGUUGCAGCUCCCUCCGUCUAUGAUGACGCGCACAGAACGUUCCUUCACAACUCCCUUUGUAUGGAACAAAUUGUGCCUCUGAUUUUGCUCAGCUUGUGUGACCUGCACACUCAAAACAUGUUGAGCAACUAAACAUUCAUACCUGUCAGCGUCUUCAGGAGCCAUGUAUUGCGUCUCAUGAUCAAAAUCAGCUCCACCGUGUUCUUCACUUGUAAUAAGCGCCAAAGUCUCCUCAUCAUAGUCACUAGCGGACUCAUACCCACCAUCCUCAGUAGCAAUCAUCACACGCUGAGAUUUGCAUUCUCUCGCAUAAUGACCUCUUCCCUUACAAUGACGACAAAUAAUAUCACUUGUGUGCCCUGUUGAUGCCAUGUAAGUAGAAGAGCUCUGUGCAGGCCCGACAGGUGCGCUCUUGGCAGAUAGUGGUGGUUGUGCCUGCUUUCUUGUAUCACGGCUGUAGGUGCCACCUGAUGGAGGUGCUGGUGCAGUGGAAGUAGAAGAUGCACGCGGUGUCCAUGAUGAAGGUCGACCUACAGAAAAGUUAGUUCGCGCCAAUGCCUAUCGAUCCUGCACUUCAUGUUCAGCUUUACAAGCAAGAUGGAAUAAACAAGUGAUAUUAGUAUACUCCUUAUACUCUAGAAUGGUCUAAAUCUCUCUAUUUAAUCCACCCAUAAAACGUGCAAGCAUAGCUUCAUUCUCCUCAACAAUACCACAUCUAAUCAUGCCAGUUUGUAAUUCCUGAUAAUAUUCUUCUACAGAAUUUUUCCCUUGUCUUAAACGCUGCAAUUUUUGAAGCAAUUCACGUUGAUAAUAUGGUGGAACCCAACGAGUACGCAUAGCAGUUUUCAAAGCAGCCCAAGUAGUUGGAAUGGGAUAUAAUCUACAAUGUUCAGACCACCAUACACAUGCAAAACUAGUGAAAGCACAAACAACAACAGCAACCCGUCUCUCCUCGGGAUAUUGUAAACAUGUAAAACAUUGUUUAGUUUCUAACUCCCAAGUAAGAUAUAUAUCAGGAACAUAUCUACCCUCAAAUGGUGGAAUAUUCAAUUUUAGUUUAGGAAUAUGGUCAUUAUCUCGUACCUGAGGUGGUGGUGCAGGCCUGCCAUUGCGAAUAUAUACCUGAGGUCGACCUGCUGGUGGUGGUGCUGGUGGCUACACGUAGUUCUGAUUUUGAUCAACCUCAUCCUCGUAAUAGUCCUCCACCUCUGCAGUAACAGCAGGAGCUACAGAAGCACCAACAGCAGUAGCAGCGGCACCAGAAUUUUGUCCUGGCUCAAUAGGAACAUGCUGUGCUCGCCCUACUAUAUCGCGGCGUAGAGCUGGUUGUGGGAGACGUUUGAGUAAUUCAUCAAACUUAGCGUCCAACUUGGUGUCAAUUGAUUUCUCAAUGUCAUCCAUCUUCUCCAUUGCCUUUCCAAAGCUGGCCAUCACGUCUUCCACCUGUUGACCCAACAUUUGAUGAAACUUAUCAUGAAGCUCCUUGUUUGUCAUGUUCUCCCAGUCAAUCUCGUCGGCUUGUGUUCCUGCCAUAGUUAGCAGCAAUAGAAACAUACAAGAAUAUGAUCCUACAAACUACUGGAAUAUGGUGGUGGUGGGGUGUCACAAAUCCGUCAAGCGAAUCUCAAAUUCUUACCAGUUCUUACCGAGCAGCAGGUGGUGAUCGGCAACCGUUGUAGUCAAAACUCUCAAAGCUUGGAUAGAGCGAUUACUAGGGAGAGUCAAACGCACGACGUAGAUGUAUGUGGAGCUGGGAAGGCUUAUAAUAUGGUAGCAAAAAGGGUCAACAAUAAUCAAUUCAGAGAUGCAAAGUUGAAUAAACGCUCAACGACGGUACUGUGCUGGUCCUAGGCUAGACCGUGCUAGAGACGCGAGCCUAGAACACUAACAAAAUCACGGCGCGACACGUAAUCAAGGGAGGAGCACACUCUGAUUUUUUUUUUCACUUUUUUCCUCUUUUUUUUUGCUCCGCAACAAUUUUUUUUUGAAAAAGUCUACAAAUGGCCUAAAAACUGCCUUGCCAGAAUUUUCCAGACUUAGUUUUUUUUUGAAACUGGAACUAUUUUUCUUGUAUGGGUAGCACGGAAGUUGGGGAAUCCGACUUGUUGAAGAUUCGUAGUAUCGCGUGCUGUGGAACUCAAAGAUAAAGGAACAAAUACUGGACUCGGACUAGGACUAAUGGCGGAGAUGAAUCUGGUGGAACUUGCACUGGUGAUGGUAUAUGACGGUGGUAUAUGUGGACUCGGAUGGGUGGUGGUAUAUGAACACGGAUUGGUGGUGGUAUAUGGACUCGGAUUGUGGUGGUAUAUGGACUCGGAUUGGUGGUGGUAUAUGGACUCGGAUUAGUAGCGGAGAAGCAGUGGUGGUAUAUGGCAGGGCGAUGAUGAUGGUGCGGCGGCAACGUGAAUACCCGUGAACAGAACUCGAAACUCUAAAGACUAGACGCUAAGACCAGCAACUUGACACGAUGAAGCAACCGCAAAUUCAACAACGCAAAUACAGAAAAGAUUAUGCAAAGGCCCAGAUUGGUUCGGAUAGGAUGAACUAACCCUAAUUUUUUUGGCUUUUUCGUGGACUAUAGGUAUGAAGAAACAAACUCGAUCUAAACUACGAAAAACUGUAAAAUCUCACCGAGCAACCUGAAAAUCUUAUACCACUUGAUAGAGGCAAAGGUGUCCCAUCUUUUGAUGAGAUGAUGGAUUUCGCUUUGGUGGAAGUCGACUUUGACGAUCCGACUACAAAUGUGCGAGGACGUCGCGCCUUAGCAAUCGCUAAACCAACUCUGAGAGGUUAUUGACCAUGUCGGAGCACGAUCAACCUGACCACGAGGGUCUGUUUCCUGCGAGCAAAUGAAGAACAAGCAAGAAACUGAGAUUGCAAUCUAGAUAUUGCGAAUAUAAGAUGAAAGGUUUAUUGAUCAAGGUGGGGUUCUGUGACGCCUUUGUCUGGUUGUUGAACACAAACGAAGUACGCGAAGUUGCAGCUAUGGCGAACUUUUAAUCUAAACAAAACCCAAAGUCUAAACGGUGCCCUAAGGGCUGUAUAUAUGGAGGAAGAGGGGGGAAUUUCGUGGCCCUUGGUGGAGGGGUCCGAAAUCAACCCUAUCUCUUGUUUCCCCACACAUACGGACUCUAAAAAUAGCAUAUACUUAUGUAUUUCGAAAUUACAUGGGCCUGGCCCAAUAAUAAGGUGACGCAGCACCUAGAAUAGCCUCGGACAAAAUUUAUGAAGUGACAUCUUGUAUAUUCCGUCCAAGGCUUCAUGCACCCAUUAUGGUGGCUUCAAAGUCCUGAAAUCAUCGCUUGUAACUCCGUUCUUGUUCCCCUUGCGCAUGCCAUCAUCUCCAUGCUUGUUCGUGCUCCAAUGUUCAUCCUUCUCCAAGAUAGGACCUUCAUUUGUAAGCAAAACAAAUGUAUCCAAUUUAGGCAGCAUCAUAUUCUCAUGAACAUUAGAAUCAUUACCAAGAAACGGAAGUACCUGAUAAUUUAAUUCACGUGCGCGAGCUCUAGUAAUUGGUCCAGUAUAUGUAGCAGUAGGGGUUGUGGGUGUAACAAUGGUAUUGAUGUCCUCAUCACUUGUCAUAUGGAUGCUAGUGACACUGUCAUAUAUGUGUGCCAAAAGGCGCAAACGGUCCCGCGCAAGGUAAGGCGACACAUGUGGGAAUACCGUGCGUGAGGCCGCAAAGUGAUAUGAGGUGUUACAUGCUAGAUCGGUGUGUCUUUGAGUCGGGGUCCUGACAGCUUUGGUAUCAGAGCCUGACUGCUUGUAGCAUUACCAAGCCAAACUGGUCGAAGUUGAGUCUAGAAACUAUUUAGUUAUAUAAGGGAAUUGAUUGUGGGAUGGAACGUAAGGCUCUUUUUACUCCUUUACCUUAUGCCCUUCUAAUCUGAGUCAUCAUAUCUUUCCUACGGGGUUAAGGAAAUAGGCUUUCUCUUCUUUCUAUCAGGAUCACAUGUUACUAAUCCAUAGACUUAUAAGAUUGGUAAAUUCAAGCCUCAGUUCAGUUCCUACUAUCUCCGUGUAUUCAUAGUUGAUCUCAGAACCUUGUUAUUAUGAUGAUCGAGUGGUUAUGCCACCAUUUUUGUAGCUUGUCUCAAAUAUUUUUGAGCCUUUACAGUCGUUAUGCUGUCUGAGUCGUCCUAGGUUUCUAAACAAUCUGAUGCAUUUGCAAAAUCCUUUCCCUCUGGUUUUGAUGUUCCUUUAGGCCAGGUUAAUCACACUAAUUGUUGAGUUGAGCUAUUCUAUUGCCUCGACAUAUAUGUUGGAAUUAUUAUUAUGACCCUAGGUGUCUUAGGGAGUCACCUAGUAAUCUAGCAAUGCUUUGUAUUCCCAGUGUGAUGAUUCUGGCCAUCAUUCUUGAAAGCAUCCCGUGAUGCCACUUAGCUAGUAGGCAUUGUAUUCCUGGGUUCUUGACCGAAGAUUCACUCUACUUACCUCGUGUUGAUAGUGUUGCUCGUACCUUUAGGAUAUUAGUAACCUUUGUGAUAGUCUUCAAGGUCUGUGGUAUAUCAUUCUUACAAAUACCAUGAACCAUCCUUGGCAGAAGUUCCUCAUUGAACCAAAAGAUCACAACAAGAGUGCUCUCGAUGAGUUCCCCAUUCUAUAUUGUGACUCUGCCAAUCCUAGCUCUUUGCAUGGGUUAUCCGGAAGAAAUAUGCUGAAUUUGUUCGGCAUACUAAUCCAUGCAUCCACAACUCAGAAAGGCAUAUGUUCCUUUGAGUUGUCCCUCUUUAGUUGUCUUCUGACCUUCGCCUAUCAAUUGAUAGUCAAGAGUAUGCGUGCCUUCGUUCAUUGAUGCCUAUUACUCUUGUGGUCCGUCAAGCCAUUCUAUUCCGGAAUGACUAGGAGAAACAAACUCCAGUACCUCAUCCAUAUCCAGGAUUGGGUCAAAGUAGUUGAGCUCCGCAGAUCAAUGCCAGUCCAGCUUUUGUUCUAUUCUACCCUGGAGUAUUACCCCCUUUAUGUUAGGAUUGUCGUGAGAAUUGCACCUUAUCUUAUGAAUUCUUGAUGCAGUGAUACUUCUCACCAUCAUUAUUCAUUCCUCGGUCCCCGUGUUGUUGAACCGGAAUGCCGACAAGUGAACUAUGAUGUGUGAAAUCAAUACUCCUAGCAACCGUGUUGCUUGGUAGUUAAUGGACAAUAAUUUCAUUCUUAGCGUGUUGGUUAUUGAAUCAUCAUCCUAAGGUUGAUCGUGCUACCUAGUCCAUAUUUCCUGGUGCACUCUUCGAUCGAUGAGUUAGGAUUGUGUCAAUCUCUCGCUCUUUCGAUCAUAUCGUCUUGCCCUGAAAAGCAAGAUAGCUCCCGAGCUUAAUAACAUUUCGGUGGUUCGCGAUUUUCCGAUUAUCUUCUCGGAAGUAUCACCAGGUUGUCACCUGGCCGCUAUGUUGAGCUCGUGAUCAAGUUGGUUUCUUGUAGCCAUCCCUUUCUCCAAGAAUCUGUGUUGGAUACCCCUGAGCUAGUUGGUUAAGCUACACAACAACUUGGAGAGUUGGAAGAUAAAAGCUUGCCUAACAUAGUUCGUUCCAAAGAGAUAUCCUUCUGUUUGUGUGUUAGUUGAAGAAAGAUGAUAUUUUCAUUGGUCCCUGUGAUCAGUUGUUGGACCUAUUGCCUUAUCAAAACUUUGAUUUGAGUGUGGGCUAUCGUCAAAUCAAGUUAGAACCAAUGAUAUUUGUAAUGUUGUCUUACUCGUGGUUGAUUCCUCGAGCAUACACCAUUACAUCUUUUGGUCUGACCAAUACUAUCACAUUGUUCACAUAAUGGUGGAAGUCCAGUGAUAUGGAAAAUCCGAUGAGUUGUUGUUGAGCCCCUCAGCAACAUUUUAUCUCCUCCAUAAUUCAUGAUGAACAUCAGGCUAGUGUUGGAAACUUGUGUAAGCAUUAUCUUCGUGUUCCAUUCAUGAGAUAUAUGUUCGGAAGAGAGAAGUGACUUCCUCUAAUUCACGUGCACUUGGUGUAAGUUGCUGCCAUGGAUCCGAGAAAGAUUGUUUUGUUUCCUUUGGAAGCAUCCCAAGUCAGUCAUGCAUGUGCAAAGUAUACUAUGGUUUGGUAGAUUAAUUACCUCCACUCCAUAUGUAUCCCGUAGCACACCAAGCCACUGAUUGAUUUGUUCAAGGAGAAGAAGCUCCUUCUUAAGAAUCAUGACUUAUGUUAGGACUUUGUUAUCCUCGUUGAUGGUUUUCCUCCUGAACUCGAUAGUGUUUUGUUGUAAGACUACCAUGUGAUCAUGUUUGUCUGGGACAACAUGUUCACAUAUUUGUAGCAGAACCAGCUCAUGUUUUGGAGCUUGCUAUCGCAGUUCAUUCCCCGAGAAUCACACAACACCGUCUCGUCGAUUUGUAUUGCAAACUUCCAUUUCCUUUCUAGACUUGAUGAGUCUGGAAUAUUCGGACACCAACCAGACCAAAAUCUCAGGCAGAUAUGAUGGUUGGGACGUGUUCCAAGAAUUAUAAUAUUGGUCUCUCUAUAACCUGGUAACGUGGAUGUCGUGGCCAACGCACCUAGCCGGAAGGCCUAUUAUUGUAGUAUCUUGGUUGAAGAAGUUGACCACCUCCCCAUAGGGAUUUCGUAGGAUUUACUCCCUAGUUGUCCCUUAUGGAUUUUGGGUUUCCGAAGUAUGACCUUUUACUUGCUGUUCUAGAUAUCAAACCAUAUCUAUGAAUGGGAUACGCUAGUACAUCAAGGAGAAUAUUAGAAGUGGAGUGUUAAAUGUCUCUCGGUCGAUCAUCCAGAUUUUGUUCCCUUGGCUUUGCAAGGGUGAAAUCUGAGAAAGUGUUGUCUUCCUUUCCAUCUGCAUCGUCCAUCACUAUUCAUCAUGGUAGUAUGAUGUGUUGCCAGGAUCCUCGGCACGGAUAUUGGUAAAACUUUGAUGAAUAUGGAAAUGCUCAAGUUCUUGAGAGCACGCACAAGCACCAGGUGUUAUCAUCAACACUAACUGGGAUUGCUCCCAGCUUCCUCGAUUAUGCUAUAACCAUUCCCACAGUGGAAUCAAUCUCUACUGUUGAGUUUCUCCCUAGUUACCAGAAUCAUUCCCAGCAUUUGCAUUUUGUUCCUAGCUUGCACCGCCAAUGUACCGUUCUACCGUGGGUCCCAUCCAUUUCCGAUGAUAAGCAAAAUCAUCCACUGCGUUGUCUUCAACAAGGUAAUCCACAUCAUCCAUUCCAGUCCGGGUAUGUCAUUCAUCCGAACCACUCCAAAUGGUCGCUAGAGAAUUGCCCUAGGCUGGUUUAGAGAGUCUCAAUGAUCUCUAUAUCAAAGGUAAUUCUUUUUGCUACUCAAGGUAAUAAUCUACGAAUCACCCUCCUCCAGGAUAUCUUGUUAUGGUAUCAUGGCAACUCAACUCCUCGCUACGUUGACAACCGUUCACCACCUUCUUAAGCGUAAAAUUGAUGUCUACCUAGUGAACCUUCGUCAUCUGCUUCACUCCAUUCCUUUGGAUGUGUGCUUUGUGUCUCAGCUCAUGAGAUGUUCCUAUGUCUCAUUCCGUGAGUUGAUCCUGAGUUGCUCGAUCUUCGAGAAGAUCGAUCCUUCUAGAGUUUCUUUUCCCUCUUGUUGUCAUGUGGUAAGAGUUCCUGGAGCAAGAUAUCGAGACAAAGAUGGUGAUCGAAUCAACGUUCUUAUGAAGUGCACCUUGGAUCAUGAAGAUCGUGGUAGCUUGUGACCCUCUGACUUCUUACCUCACGUCUUGAAUCUCGGGACGAGAUUCUUGUUUAGUGGGGGUGAGUUGUCACAUCACUAGCUUCUGGCUUUGCAUUAGGCUAGCUUCAUGCAUGCAUCAUGUUUAAAUUUUAUUUAACUUGAAAUGGGGAUUGCUCAAACCCUAGCACCAGAUCAAAUCAACUAGGUUCAAAUAAAAAAAUAUUCUCAAUGAACCCAAAAUGCCUUCAGAAAAGUUCAUCAUUUUUGGAUUGGUUUAAAACCUCUGCCAAAAAUGGUGCACAUAUUUCUAGGUCCAUUUUGGAUUUUCGAAUUAAUUCAUAAAGUAUUUGAAUUUGGGCAUCUAAAUGCUAUAAAUAAUUUAAAUGCUCAAAUAAUUCUGAAACUAAAUAUGGGCUGUUGCAUAUAUUUCAGAAGGUGGCCACAAUUAUUUUCGGGAUUUUUAGAAGUGCUCUGGUAUUUUUAAUAAAGCCCAAACAACUACAAAAAAAUAGAAAACAGAAAGAGAUAAGAAAGAGAAAGAGAUAGGAAGCCCACCUGGGCCACUUACUUGGCCGGCCCAGCUGGCAGCCCAGCCAACAGGCCCAGCCCACCAGGGGCAGUGUUGUCUUCUUCCUCCUGCCAGGAGGAGAAGCAGCUGCGUGCCUGGCGCAUAGCCGAGCCGCGCCAGCUCCUCCCUGCAUGCCUGCCGCCUCCUCGACUCCUCCAGACGCGCCACGGAGACGCCCAGCACCCCCUGCACCAAUCUCCUCUCUCCCUGGACCUCUUUCCCCCCUCUGCUCUCUCCCUAUGACGCCACCGAACAUGCCCAUCGCCGCCGUUCGUCGUUGCCGCGACAACCAUCGUCCCGACGAUGCCCCGAACUGUUCCCGAGCUCCUGCACCUCGUCCCCAACCCCCUCACCGAGCCACGCGACUGGAAGACCCCCGAAGCACCGCCCCCGAUGUCUUGUUCCUCCUCGGGUCUCCGAGAUCGCCGGUGGCCAUGUGUUGAUUCACUAGAACCAGGACCUCCCCGAGCCCGGCGAGCUAUUCUUCGAGAUCGUUGUGAGCUCCUCUUCCUUUCCCCUCAUAUUCCAUGGUGAUUUUCGUUCGUUAGCUCGAUUUCCGCCAUCGCCGAGAGCUCCCGUCGCCGAGUUGCAUCGCCGCCGUGGCCUGAGCUUGACCUGCUCUCGUCCGAGCAUGCAGUAGUGCUCCAGGAGCUCCCAUGGUGCUCAUGCGCUACUCACCUGCUGGAUAGCAAGCUGCAACCCCGCGCACGAUCGAACCUGAGCCGCUGCCGCCGCUGAACCUCGUCGCUGGCCACUCUUCCGGCGACUCCAGCACCAACCGCCACCACCCCUAGAUGCGCUGCACUGCCAGCUUUCCAACGGGACCGACCGCGCCCCGAACCACCCCUUGUAUGUGAAACCCGAGCCUCUCCGGCGAGCAACCGCCGCGGAAUGUGGUCACCGACGAGUAACCCCGGUGACCGCUGACAUGGCGCCACCAUUAGCCACUAAUGACCCUACUAACUAAAACCCUAACCCACUUACAUAUGGGCCCCACGCCCUUAAUUAACCAUAGUUUAAUUUCUGUUUAGUUUUAGCUAAUCAUAGUGGCCCACGCGUCAGCAUUGACCUUGCUGACGUGGCCAUUGACCAACCCCACCUGCCAGUGACCCGGGGCAGCACUGUGUCAUUGACCAGUGGGACCCACUGGUCAGAUUUGACCCAGCUGACCUCUGUUGACCUGCUGAUGUCAUGCUGACACAGUGCUGACGCAAUAUUCCUUUUCUGGAAUUUAGCUUAAUUUCUAAAUAAUCAGGAAAAUCCAGAAAAUGUUUAAAACUUCUAAAAUUCAUAUAAAAUCAACCGUAACUCCAAAUGAAAUAUUUAUAUAUGAAAAAUGAUCAGAAAAAUACAAUCUAUCCAUCUGUACCAUUUGCAUGCAUGUUUGAGCAAGUUAACUUCACUGUUUAAGAUGAAGCAUGAAUAGGACAACUUUGAUAAUAGUUUUGGAGUUGGAAUUGAUGUAGUUUUGAAUUCCACUUCAAUCAAAUGACUUGCUGUUGCAUUAGCCCAAAUCACAGCAUAUUGCCAUGUCAUGAGCAUGCAUCAUAUUGUUGCAUUGCAUUGAUUGUGUUUCCUUCUCUGUUGCCGGCAAUUGUCCCCUCUCAGUAGACGUGGUUCCGACGAUGAGAUCGAUGACACCGAUGAAGAGAUAUACUAUCUUCAGAAGUGCCAGGCAAGAAAAAACCCCUUGUUCAUUCUGAUACAAUCCCACUCUCUCGCUCCUGCUCUCUUUUACUGCAUUAGGACAACAAUGAUUCAUCGGUUACAUGCUGCGGUAGCUGAACCCCUUUCCUCUGCAUGACCUGUCAUUGCCACAGUAAAUAAAUGAAACCCACUAGCAUGAGUAGGAGUUGUUUGAGCCCUGUUGUGCCUACUCAUACUUGCUUGUUUGUCAUGCCUGCUACUACUUAGAGUUGAGUCAGGUCUGAUUCAUCAGGGAUGAAUUGGAACAGUGAUGAACAUGUCCUACUAUGUGUGAGCUAAGUGUGUGAACACGAUUUGGUAAAGGUAGCGAUGAGAGGACAUGUAGGAGUACAUGGUGCGUUGUCUCAUUGAAACCGUCCUCAGGAACUGAGUUCUGUGUUGCAAUCCAUGAACAGUUACUACCACACAUUGGGUUCCGAUAACUCGAACCCUCUCGACUUAUUAAUCAACUCGAUCUCUGUCUAGGAGUUGCAACUAGUUUCUGGUGUUUGUAGGUGGUGUUAGUAGUCUGCCAAGUGGCACCCGGUACAGGUGGGCUUGGGACAGACUGGGCACAAUGGCACGGUGUACCAAGUGGCACCUGGAUGGUUGGCUUGGGAACCCUGCACACAUCGUUUGGGGCCGUGUGCGACACCCCGGCCGGAUCUCCUUGCGGAAGGAACCCGAAUAGGCGAUAAGCCUGGACGAGAGACUUGUGUGGUUAGUCAGGUCGUGGCCGACACCCUCGCUGGGCUUCCGCUUGAAGGUUGCCGAGUACAUGUCGUGUAAACAGCGAUAAGUGGUGAGAGCGUGUGUGAAGAAGUACACCCCUGCAUGGCUAACAUUAUCUAUUUGAAUAGCCGUAUCCGUGGUAAAGGACUUCUGGGUUGCCUGUACAGUUCAUAGACAAGUGAAAGUGGAUACUCUAAAAUACGCAAGAUAAGCAUGAGUGCUAUGGAUGGCGUUCUCGUAGGGAGACGGAGCAGAUCCAUAGUGGCGUAUUGAAAUGGUGAAUAUGUGGACUCGUGUGCACCACCUCAAAAGAGUUACUUGCAGUCGUAGUUCAGGAUAGCCACCGAGACAAAGCUAGCUUGCUGCAGUCAAACCCCACCAACCCUUUGUUGAUAAUGAUGCAUAUGUAGUUAGAUCUGAUGUAAGUCUUGCUGGGUACAUUUGUACUCACGUUUUCUUAAUUUAUGUUUUUUGCAGAGAGACUUCAGUCUCGCUAGUAGUUCCGCAUAGACUUCGACGUUUAGUUUGUUACCUCAGCUACGAUCUUGUGCCCUUGGCAGGAUCUGGUAGAUAGUUAGGCUUCUAAGCGUCUUUCAUUUGUAGAUGUCUGUACUCAGACAUGUUAAGCUUCCGUUUUGUGCUUUGACUUGUGUGAUCUGAAUGUUGGGUCAUGAGACCCAUGUUUGUAAUAUCUCGCUCCUCGGAGCCUAUUGAAUAAGAUACUUGAGUUGUAGAGUCAUGUUGUGAUGCCAUGUUGUAUUUGCACAUAUCGAGCAUAUUGUGUGUAUGCUAUUGAAAUGCUUGGUAUGUGUGGGAUCUGACUAUCUAGUUGUUUAUCCUUGGUAGCCUCUCUUACCGAGAAAUGUCUCCUAGUGCUUCCACUGAGCCUUGGUAGCUUGCUACUUCUCCGGAACACUUAGGCUGGCCGGCAUGUGUCCUUCUUCGUUCCUGUGUCUGUCCCUUCGGGGAAAUGUCUCGUGGUGUCUACCGGAGUCCUGUUAGCCUACUACAGCCCGGUUUAUCGGAGUCCUGCUAGCCCAGUUGCUAUAGCCCGGAUUCACUCGCAAAUGACCGACACGUUCGUUGUUGGGUCAUGUAUGCACGUCCCUGUAAGUUAGUGCCACUUUGGGUUCACGACUAGCCAUGUUAGCCCGGGCUCCUUGUCAUAUGGAUGCUAGCAACACUAUCAUAUACGUGUGCCAAAAGGCGCAAACGGUCCCGGGCAAGGUAAGGCGACACCCGUGGGAAUACUGUGCGUGGGGCCGCAAAGUGAUAUGAGGUGUUGCAUGCUAGAUUGGUGUGGCUUUGAGUCGGGGUCCUGACAUGAUUACUGGUCUAGUUAUCGAUUGCCUAGGGACAAAUGACUUUCUUGUUGACAAAAGCUAUCCACUUUUAUUUCCUUGCAAUUUAUCCAUAGUUUUAUUCUCGCAACAUACUCAUAGUUUUAUUCUUGCCAAAUAGUUUUAUACUUGUUCUAGGUAAAGCAAAUGUCAAGUGUGUAUAGAGUUGUAUUGGUGGUCGAUAGAACUUGAGGGAAUAUUUGUUCUACCUUUAGCUCCUCAUUGGGUUCGACACUCUUAUUUACCGAAGAAGGCUAAAAACGAUCACCUAUACUUGUGGGUUAUCAUUGCCCCCUGGGUGUCUCCGUAUUGAACCCAUCCUUAAUUCUUUCAUCGUGCUUGGUCCUAGGUUGCUCCAAUACACUUGUAGACACAAGAAAACAAAGAAAACUAAUAAAAACCAAAUAAAUACACAAAUGUCCAGUGCUCACAAUGAUAAGUGCAAAGCCGGUAAUCAUGUAUAAUGGCACAUAUUUGGUUCGAUGGGACGUAAUAUAUGAAGAGAACAUGCAACAAAUGAGCUCUAAAAAUGCAUGCAAUAUAGAGCCAUCAACCUCCCCACGCUUAAACCUUGCUCGUCCUUGAGUAAGAAGGUUAACUACCAAAAGAUCACUAUUACCAACUCUAAAGAUUACAUUUAACCACAUCCCAAAAAUUAUAUCCAUAUUCAUCGUGCAAGCAUACAAAAGUUGACUAGCAAGGGAGUAAUACAAGCUACCCCCUUAGUCCCAUUGCCAUGGAGGUUGAGAAAGAAGAAAAUAGUUUUGUGGAGCCCAAAUUCCAAGUGCCAAAGAUUUAGAGAGAAGGUUAAUAUUAUGUUAGGAACACAACCGUGCCUAUCAUAGACAAAAGAAACCAUGCAUUAGCUAUCGCUUCAAAAGCACCAACCAGAGGCAUACCAGGUACAAUAGCAAUGUUUGUCUGCAUUAUUCAACCGCUCAACUACCUAUGAAGCAAUGAGCACAAGCCCAUGCUCACACUUAAGGUACAAUAGCAAUGUUUGUCUGCAUUAUUCAAUAGCAAUGAUUGGGGUUUUGAGAAGUCAAAAACAUAGAAAGUCUUGAAUCAACGCAGUGGCCAUUAGGCUAUGGAGAAGGCCUUAUGAUUGAUGUCAAUGCAAAGAGUAGUGAUCGCCAUGCAACUAGGAUGCACAUGGAGCUAUGAAUAUGUGAAAGCUCUCCUAUGGACUAAGUGGGGGCAUCCAACUUUGUCGGCGUUCUAGGAAUGGGGGUCCCCAGACUUGCCUGCCUGCGGCCUGCAGCGUGGCUCAAGUGUAGGCCCAGUACGGGCCAUCUUCAUCAACGCAAACUCAAGACCCUCGCGAGGGGCCAAGCCUCGUGGGGCGGACGAUGCAAGGCUUCCUCAGGAGCAGCCUCACCAGGAAGGCUCGCAAGGAGGUGGAGAGAUCAAGGCAAGGGUACCUCGCGAGGUGCCUGUGACGCAAGCCAUGACGAUCGAGACCAGGUGGGCGCCAGGCGAGCACCGGCCUGCGCAGUGUCCUUGUUUCCUCUUUGGUGCAAAGGGGGCAAGCACAGGCGUGGAGUACCGAGGCAUCAGGCAAAGGUUACCAUUUCGGUGCAACAAGACCAGGACCAGUAGAGCGGUAGGAUGGAGGUCACCGUGGAGCCCAAGACGGCGUCAUUGCCAGUGCCUUUGGCAUUCGAAGAUCAACUUUAGUCAGGAUAGCUUGUACUAGAUGUUCCCCUUCAAAAUGGUCGUUGUUGGCUCCCUUCCCACUCAAUAUUUGGGAAGAGAACUAGGGCCUCUAUAUAGAGAGAUAGCCACCACAGUAGGAAGGCAUCGAGUUCUCACCAAGCCAACGGGGACCGAAUCUCUUCCUACGAGAACACCACACCAGCUCAAGAACACCUCUCGCGAGGCUGUUCUUCCCUUUGUAUCGUUCUUCAUCAACCCCUGAGGCAAUCCACCACACCACACACUGGAGUAGGGUAUUACACCACAACGGUGGCCCGAACCAGUAUAAAUCUUGUGUCCCGCGUGUUGUUCAUCGUUUAGCUUAGAUUCUCGCGAGGCAUUUGGACGUGGAUAGGUAGGGGGAAGAUCUUCGCGCGCACCCCAGAGUUCGAACCUUAAGGGUCAGCCGGAACCCAACAUCCGACAUUUGGUGCACUAGGUAGGGGUGCGCCGGAAUCUUUCUUCUGGUGUUCCGCGUUCGGUCAUCCGUCGUGUCCAUGGCUGACGCUCGCCGGGCUCGCGCCGAGCGUCGGGCCGCUCUUGCUUCCCGCGUCGCCCAGACGGCUCCCGUCGGUGGGUGUCCCCGUCCUCCCCCGUAGCAUGCCGCCAACGCCGCCACCGGCCCAGUGGGGAACGAGCAGCAGGCCUCGUUGAUGCAUCCCUCAGUGCGUCGGGAAGGCCGCACCGCCACCCCGUCGCUGACUCCAGCUGGUUCGUCGUUGCACGCCCGUCGCGCUCCCACGGACGUGCACGCCGCGUUGCUCCUGACGCGUGAGCUCCUGCACUACCGUCUCAUCGACGACCUCUAAGAGGAGUGGCUCGCUCGCAUCACCGAGCUCGUCAUUGCUGCAGGGGGAUCCCCUGCGUCGUCCCUCUCGCUGCCUCGUCCUCCAUCCUACGCGGGUGAUGCAGCUCAGGAGGUGCCUCCGCCACCUCCUCCCCAAGAAGGCGCCCUGGAUCCAAGGCGUGCGGCCCCUAGACAAUAUCCACCGCGUCCAUCACACGCAUGACAAGAAAGGAUGAUGAGGACAUGACUACCUUGGAUAUGACCAAAAAUAUUGCAUACAUGCAUAUUUGUCAGGUGAUUUCUAGUGCAAACUAUUCAAUAAUCUAUUUAUGUUAUGUAGAACAAACAUACUUCACACACUUUUGUGUUUUGUCUAAUUGCAUGUGUAUGGGACAUUUGUACAAUACACAUAUGAAGAUAAGGGAAAAGGAGAAGUUUAGGUGUUGUUCAAAAAGUCCUCUCACGUCACUUUUGGGUCAAGAGAAGAUAGAGUCCAAGUCUGUCACGUUCUGGAUUCAGAUUCGGACUGCACAGACAUACCUAAAUCAAAACGCCAAAAACUUUUUCAUACGGACUCCGAAUUGGGUGAUUCUUUUUUUUGUUGGACAGUAGAUUUCAUGCUCUUUCCAACCCAAUUGGAAUCACCUUAAAAUCCGUCCGGAGCGUUGAGUUAUGGACGAAACAAUCUGACGCUGCACCAGAAUCCGAGUCAAACUACAAGUCCAAAGGUGUUACGUCACCCCCACUUGGCCCAUUGGCCUUGUACGACCUAGGGUUAGUUGUAGGCUGCCUUGGGACGUCCUCCCACCUCCUUGGCCACCACCCCUUGCUCCUAUAUAAGUAGAUCCAUCUAGUAGCUUUUCCCUUGGGAUUUGUUUAGUUAAAAGUUAGCCAUUGCAACUUCGUGUACUUCGUUUGUGUCCAACAACCAGACCAAGACCGCUUACGGAUCCCCACUUUUAUCAAUACUUCAUAUAUACUCGCAAUAUUCAGAUUGUUUUUAUCAUAUUCUUGCUUGUUCUUCGAUUGCUUGCAGGAAUAGACCUUCGUGGUCAGGUUGAUUGUGCUCCGGCGUGGUCAAUAUCCUCUCGGAGUUGGUUUAGCGAUUGCUAAGGCGCAACGUCGUGCACGUUUGUAGUCGGAUCAUCAAAGUCAUCUUCACCAAAUCGAUAGUUAUCAUCUCAUCAAAAGAUCGGGACACCUCCGCCUCUAUCAAGUGGUAUCAGUUUUCAGGUUGCUCGGUGAGAAUUUCCAGUUUUCCUAGAUUUGAUUUAUUUUCUUACCUAUUGUCCAAGAAAAAGCCACACAAAAAAGUUAGAUCUAUUCAUCCUUUAUCCAAGCCAGUCUGAACCUUUGCAAUUUUCUAUUCAUUGCUUGCAUAGUUGAAUUAUCGGUUGCAUCGUCGUGUCAGUUGCUGGUCUUAGUGUCUAGUUCCUUUAGAGUUUCGAGUUCUGUUCACAUUAGUCACGCCGCCACUGCAUCAUUAUCCCUUCCGCUGUCCACCAUCCCAUCCAUUAAUUUCCACCACGUGCUACGCACUGUUCAUUGUCAUAAUCAUAGUUGAGGUCACUCACAUCUUCGCCUGAUCCAAUCUGCAUCUUAUCUAGUUUGUCUUGGAAAGAGGGUGAAAAAGAAGAUAGAGAAAAAAAGAGA
rnacentral:lncRNA from 1 species